CCGACGAACCUAUUCCAAAUCCCUCCAAACUUACACCCCUAAAGAACCUCAAUCUCCUCUUUCCAACCAUGUAGGUCACCUCUCUCGAAUCUUCCUGAAACCCUUCGAAUAUAAAUUUAAAGCCUAAUCCUAAAACUCAAUUCCCAUCGGAAAUGGCUCAAACUCCUCCUAGGCAAUCCCUGACCCUUCCUUUCCCCAACUAUAUCACCCAUGACUCCCAAAUAUCCUCAACCACUGAAUAAAUCCAAAUCUGAGACCACACUGAGGUCUCAGAACCAUGAAAGCCUCUUUGAACUCUUAAACCCGGUCAUACAUCGUCCUAGGAGGUCUAAAACCCCUGUGGAAAGGGGUCAAGAGCUGAUUGAAAGGGUUUAAAUUGGACAUGCAUAAGAAGCUAAGUACUUUGCCUCUUCUGUAUAUAUUUUCCUGAUUAUAUGGUCUUUUUUGUAUAUAUUUUCCUAAGUAGUUUAUCUUUUUCUAUAUUUCUAUUAGCUCUUAGAUGUUUUCAUUUAAAUAAUUGUUUGUCCACAAAUCUCGCCUGGAAUAGGUCUAAAUGGUCAUAUGCUAUUGUCAAUAAUUUAAAAUCCUUUCAUCUCUUGAGUAGUGUUGAUAUCUUGCUAGCAUUAGUCUCUUGAUUCUGGAAUGCCUGAUUUUGUUUAUUCUCCGGUAAUGUGAUUUUUGAGGCUCGAUUGACUUACAUCUUCUAAACAUUAUUUGUUUAUUCUAUGAUUUCUGGUUUGUUUGGUUGUGCAUGUUCCUAAGUAUUUGAUUUUGAUAAUGAUUUUGAUUUUUAAAUUUAGACUAUUUGUUGGGUAGAUCUUUAAUUGUUAUGUGGUAGCCUUUACUUGCUUCCUAAUUUUAUUAAUGAACUAAAUACCCACCCCAUGCUGUGUGCUUCUCAUUUGUAAGUAUUAUUGAGCACUUUGAUUGAGCUAUUUUAGGAAACUAAGUGUCGAUAGAUGUAUUCAUUCUUCUGGUUAUUUUGAUCCUUUGUUUUGAAAAUCUGGAAUAAUGUUUGGAUGUGAAAGUCUAAAAUUAAGGCAUUUGUUUUGAACCCUAAUAAUUUUGGCUGAUUCUGAACAUUCACAAGUCUGCUAGUCCAAGGCCAAACAUUGGCCCAUAACCCAAAUACAAUUGACCAGGGUUAAGGAAUAUGUAAGGUUAAAAAACUUCAGGUGGGUAAUUUAGGAAAGGAAGUAGGGGUAUAAGGGGUACUUAAACUUUGAAAAUCUGAUAGUAAUCCCUUAGAACCUUCUAGCUAGGACUAAAACACAAUUCCUGCCUCAAACUUGAGGCACAAGUCAGGAAAUGAAGGACCAUUUUAGGAAAAGUGCAAAUUUGAAGUAAGGACUAAAAGAAAAACAAGAGAAAAAUCUGAUGCCCUAAGGCUUUACUAUAAAAUAAACCAUCUGGGCCUUUUUAAAAGGAUCUGGAACCUUCUCUUUGAAUCCUAGAGCUAAAAAUACAUACUAGUUUCUCCUAUAUCUGCAAAAUAUACCAUUAGUUCUGUUUGAGUCAUUUUUCUGAAAACUUAGUUCUCUAAGAACUCUGCUGAAGUCCUGGAUGCACUAUUUGAUUGGCUGUUGAUUGCUUAGCUGAGUCAUUACAUUUACUCAUAGGCUUGUUUUUUGUUGAAUUACAGGUAACUUCUGAUGUUUCAUUGAUGUAUUUGAAGCUCAAGUAUAAAGUAUUCAUGAAUGUGCAUAUCUGAGUUCCUUAUACCAUUCUAAACCCUUUCUCUGUUUUCCCCUUUAUUCAAUUUUGGAUAUAGCUGUAGUGAUAAGAACGUCAUCACGUUGUAAAUAAAGUUGGACUGUUUCAUUCUGUAAUAACUGAACUCUAGAGACUGAUUUAUUUGUAAUAAUCAGGAUAUUCAAACUCUUAUUUUAAGCAUGAAUAGCUAUUAGUUAACUAAGUGAUGAAGUUGUUUUAGAUGCUUAUUUCCUGUUUCACUUUAAAUGAGGACUAAGAAAAUAUGAACUUAAUGGCUAGUUGAAGUUCAAAUACUGUGUAAUGUUUUAUUUCCAACACAUUAGCCAUGCUUGUUCCAGAUCUAUAAACUGUGAUCAAAGUUGUAAUUGAAUUUUUAAAAAAUAAACUCAUAUAAUCUGACUAACAAAUAUAUGAAUCAUUUGAUUAAGAUCCAAUAUUAGAAAUUUAUUUAAAAACGGUUGUUAGUAUUUUUCUUUGUGAAUGUGUAGAUAUUCAAUUUUGUAUAUAAUUUCGAAUCAAAAAUGGUUAUUGAGAAUUGGACUCUUCCGUCCAAGUCAAUACUGGGCACAUUUGCUAGUCAGCACCAGAGAAUCGUAAUAUUACGUGCUCUAGGGCUGGACAAAUAAAAGGUUCAAGCUAGUCACAAACCAAGCCCAACAGCUGUUAGUCACAGCAAAUACAAUGUGUAUCCCUGGCUGGCCUUAGCUUGAGUCAGUGGAUGCAAUUAGCCAUGAAUGAGCUAAGGUGCGCGCUUUGUUUUUCCCAAAUGUACUGUCUAUAUAAAUGAUCAAUGCUUUUAAACACAGCAAUAAUAGAGAACUUAGCAUACGUUAGAAUAUCCUUAUAAGAUAAAGUGAGCCACGUUAGUACGAGCAAAUACCAUGUGAUGGCUUCUUAAUCCAUUAAUGCACAUAGAAAAAUAGGAAGUAUCGUUUAGAAAAUUUCAUGGCCUUCCCACGAAUGUCAAAAACGUAGUUUCUAUAGGCGCGUGUUUAAUAAAAUACCUUCCUAACUUCGGGUGUGCAUUUAUAUGAUUCAAAUCCCAUUCUCAAUAGAAUUAAAAUAUGUCUAAAAUGUGGGUGCAUUUAUGUGACGCGAUUCACGACAUGUUUUAAUGACAUUGUAAAUUUUCCUAAAAGAUGUUAAUUGUGGUUAAUAAUCUAAAAUUUCAAGAUCAACGAGUAUAGCAAAUCAUAUUUUAUCCACUUAUAAUAAGUUUAAGUGACCGUGCUAGAACCACGAGAUUUGAGGGUGCUUAACACCUACCCUCGGGUCAACAGAAUUCCUUACUCAAGAAUUUCUGAUUCGCAGACUCCAAUUGGGUAGUCGAAAUUUUCUCGAUUUGGGAUUUUAAAUAAAUCGGUGACUUGGGACACCCAAAAGCCAAACCUAUCCCAAGUGGCGACUCUUGAAAUAAAUAUUAAUCCCAUCUCAAACAAUUUCACUUUAAUUGGAAAAACUCCUAUACACGUGUCACCUUUCGGGGUAACCACGUGUAAGCGGAACAAGGAGGUGUGACACUAUGUUCUUUCACAGUUUCCCUUUUUCGUUUGAAACACCCUUCAACAGUCUUUUCUUUCCAGCUUGCUAUUCCUAUAGUAUUGUCUUCAGAUACGGUUAGUUCAGUCUGACUCCAUUUAGACAUGUUUUUGUUCUUCACAUAUGACCCUUUCUAUUUCCAAAAAGUUUCAGCGAAUGCCUUUUCCAUAGACUGUUGAGUUGUCAUAUAUUGUUGUACUGAGAAACCAGGUUCCUUGGAAACAUCUUUGUCUACUUGGUUUACUAACCCACUCUUGCUGAAAUCGUUUGGGUUCAUUUUCCUCUUUUUUCUUGGCUUGACACUCUUUCUACUUUACUAAAAUGAGGACUCAUAGUUUUUUUGCUGUAGUAACCUGAUAGUGAGUGAUUUUGAGGAAGACCCUAAGAAUUUGGAAUGAAUGCGGGGUACAGGAGUGAGUUUGCAUAAAGAGAAAUGAGUUCAUCAGAAGGCUUUUCUGGGAAUAUCUCAUGAGUCAAGGACUCUAGGAGUUCUGCAGUUUUUGUAUUUUCUAGAACACAAAUCUCUUCCAUCUGAUACUCAGAUGAGAGAUAAGCUCCUUUAUUCAUCGGACUUUCAGCAGCUAUAGCCAUGAUGUUGCGAGCUGCUUCCUUUUCAGAUGACUCCUUGAGAGACACUGAGUCCAACAUGGAGGAGUUUAUAUGCUGGUCAGGAUCGUCCUAAUGGGUUUCUGAAGUCUCAGGGGUAAAGCCUUUUGUAUGUUCUUUAAAGAGAUCAUAGGAUUGACUGGACAUAGAAUGUCAAAAUAAUAGUAAACAGGGUUUAAUAGAAAUAGGAAGACAGUGGGAGUGGAGAGAAAACCAAAAGUGGGUAAAGUGGAAGAAUACAUGAAAUAGUGACGUUCUGGGAUUAAUUUUAAGGAAGGCAACGAAAUAGGAGCGGUGCUAGAAGUGUUAGACAAAGAAGAUUGUUCGAUCACCAUUAGAUGGGCACUUUUGUAGAUGAGUCAAUAUAUAUAUACUCCCAAAUAUCCUCAACCACUGAAUAAAUCCAAAUCUGAGACCACACUGAGGUCUCAGAACCAUGAAAUCCUCCUUGAACUCUUAAACCCGGUCAUACGUGGGUAAAGUGGUAGAAUGCGUGAAAUAGUGAUACUCUGGGAUUAAUUUUAAGGAAGGCGAUGAAAAGGGAGUGGUUCUAGAAGUGGUAGAUUGAGACGAUUGUUUGAUCACCUUAGAUGAGCACAUUUGCAGACGAGUAGAUAAAGAGAGAGAGAUAGAUGAAGUGAGAAUCCUAGCUAUACAACAAAGAUGAAGGUUCAUCACUUGUCGUGGGAGGGAAGAGAAGUUUUAUUGAAAGAGGGGCUAAUGAUGAGUGAAGAAAGAAACAGGUUUUGAAUAGUCCUAAAAAUAGUGAUAGGUUUGUGGGGAAGUAUUAUCGUGUAGAGGAGGUGAAAGGAUUUGAUGGACAAGACAUGACGCUCAGACAUUGAAAAGUUGGAUGAUGUGGCAGCAUAAUUGCAAGACAAUUAUAGAAUUUUUUUUCUUUAGAGAGUGCAUGCAAACUUAAGCUUAUUACUAGUAACCUAGAGUACAAGAACCUGAUGCCAAAACAAUUUUUUUGAAAAAAGGUUGUAGCAGCUUCCUUCUCGCAUUUCACACAUGUACCUUUAGCUUCUAUAAUUGUCAUGCAUGUUUACCUACAACGGUAUUAAUGUAAGUUAGACUUGGUUAGAAAGCACUUCAGCUAUUUUUACGUGACGAUGUCUUAUAGAUCCAACUAAAGGAGGAUUAGGUUAUUCAUCAGACUCUUAUGACUCCAUAUUCAUCUUGAUUGAUCCAGAACAUUCCCUGCUUGAAGGCUUUGAUGCAGAUAUCUGGAGGUUGAUUUUCUGUUCCGCAAUACUUUCCAUAUAUCAAACUCUUCUUCAUUUUGAUGAUCAGGGGAGGAUCUCUUAAGGGAUGAGGCGUGAACUAUGACAAGUGAACCUUUGUUAGAGACCUUGAGGCCUUGUUUUGUGGGUUGUUACCAGGAAGGACUCCUUCACUCGUCUAUUUGCAUUGUGCUUCCCAAGUUGAUCCUCCUUCCUGUUGUUAGGAAUAAGGCAUUUUCUUCUAAUUGGCGGUUCCUAGCGAGUUUUGUUUUAGGAGGACCUGGUUCGUCACCUGCUAUUAAAGUAGAUAGCAGUAUUCAUUCCUUUGCCGAAACUUUUGGUGAUUCCGUAGACGAUGCGCACCAUCCAUGCAAAAUUUUUAGUUCUGUUAUUUCCUUCAGCUACGCUAUUUAGCUAUAGAGUCCUUGCUGUUGAGAAAUUGUGCAUGCUCCCUUCUCCCUCUCCUCCUUUAUUUUUAGAACUCAUGUCUAGGUGACAUUUUGAGUUUGGCACACCACGGACCAGGUCCUGAGUUUAUUUAUUCGGAGGUGAGAAGUUUGCAUAUACCAAUCAUUCAUGCCAUGGUUGUAACUUUACUCAUCUCAUGCAACCAGCUUGUGGAGAUUCAUACUUAGUUGGAGUGGAUGUUCUUGGUUCCUUUGUCCACUGAGACCACUUGGUAGGUUAUCAGAUUGGUAACUCCACUUUCUAAGCCAUUCAUAUAGUGCACGUUCCUACUUGAGUGCCAAACAAACCUUUCUACCUUUUCAUUCACUUGAGAAUGUACCCUUUACUUCCUUCUUAAGGACACAUUCCCUUCCCGUUGGGCUUUCAAUGAGAAGAGAUUCAUGAUGUUUACAGCUGCAUGCUUUAGGCAUCCAUUGUCCAUAGUCCAUCACAAUCUGCUUCUUCUCACUGCUCCCUGCACCUACACAUCAAUGGUUUAGAUUUAGGAACUCAAACUAGUUUGGGUCCCUUGUCACUAAAAACGGAUUAAUAAGGGAUUUCCUAGUUCCCUUAGGCAGUAUCCGCUUUUUGUGAGUAGUACAUGGUCCUUUGCUAGUAGUCACUCUAUUAGUGAAUGCUUUGUUCUUCUGAGCAUGCUGAGCCCUGGCCUACCAAUUUUCUUUAAAAUGCCUAUUGUUUCGCAGUGGGUACAUAGCCAGUUAUCAUGUACAGUGACAUACUUGCUAUGUGGGUUGUAGGGAGUGCUCUCUCUUUGGAUCCUGAUGCGCUGCUUGUUCCCACUAUUGUUGAGAUACAUGGAAAUAAUAACAUCUGAGGACCAGGUCCACUUUAAGGAUUUCAUAAGAUAAUUUCUUACUUUCUCCAACUCAACUUGGAGUUGCUGAUUCCUCUCAAGCUCACUGCAAAGACUGAUUUUUACAACAGUUACCUCUUUUCCCAGCAAGAUGUGCGACUCACUAGCUACUGCUUUCCCUUUCCCAAGACUUACAUUCACAUGUUCUCUAUUGAGUCUCUCAAUGGUUUCCUAUAGAUCAGCGCAUAUCACUAGAAGGUCAUCCUUUUCCUCUUCAAUAGAGGCAAUUGUUUCUUCUAAAGUGUGUUUCUUAUUGCUAAGAUCUUCUAUUGUUUUUUAGAUCAACAACUAUGACCAUUAGAUCGUCUCUCUCAUUCUCCACACUAGUUAUGUUUUCAUUCAGAGCCACCUUUUCUAGUUCAAGAUUAGCUAUGGUCUCAUUUAAGUUCACCACCCAGACCACUAGAUCAUCUCUAGAUUAUUCAACCUCUCCUAGUUCUAUGGUCAGGAUCUCCUUAUCAUUUACAAGACUAUUAAGCAUCAAUUAAGAUAGUUGAUAAAGACCUUAGUUUCUUAGAAGAAUAGGAUUUCAGAUUUCUUUGAACAUCCCUGAAGUUUAAAUCAUCGGCUUCAUCUGCUUUAUCAUUAUCAUCUGACUAAGCCAUCAGCGUGAAUACUGAAUCGUACUUCAUUGCUUCAGUUUCUACUUCCAUCAUGGAACUAUUUCUGCGUCUAAUUCCCUUUAAAAUUCACUUGAGGAGUCUCCCCAAGCAGUAAGAGCCUGCUUAACAAUAUUGUCUGCUGCACUUUUUUGAUAAAAUCUUUUCUCUGGAACAAGGUUCCUUUUUCCUACUUUGUCAGGAUUUUGCUUGUACUGCUCCUGUUUCGCGAGUGGGAAGUCUUUGAAUAAAUGCCCAGACUUUCCACAUCCGUGAUAGAGAUUUUUGUUCCUUGUCUUACUUGAACUGCCCCACUUUGGUAUUCCACCAUUUCUUCGAACCAUUUUUCGAAAUCUCUUAGUAAGAUAGGCCUUGUCACUAUCUUCAUCGCUUGAAUCACUCCUUUCAGCUAUAAGCACCAAGUUCUUUUCCUUCUUAGGCUCUCUUCUUUCACUAUCUUUCUUUCUUUUCAUCUCAUAUAUUUUCAGAUUACUAAUCAACUCAUCCAUGGUCAGAUUCUGUAGAUCUUUAGCUUUAGUGAUGACAUUUACCUUGCUUUCCCAAGAUCCAGGUAGAGCACUGAGAAUUUUCCUUACAAGCUUGCUUUUGGGAAUGACAUCUCUAAGCGGGUGAAGCUCAUUUAUGACGGAGGUGAAUCUGGUGUACAUGUCUUGUAUAGACUCAUAAUCCUUCAUCCUGAAGAGCUCAUAUUCUAUGGUGAGCAUGUUAGUUUUGGAUUUUUUUACCUAGGUGGUUCCUUUAUAAGCGGUUUGCAAUGCCUCCUAUAUUUCUUUUUCAGUUUCACAAGCUGAGACUCUGUUGUACUCAUCAGGUCCUAUGCCACACAUCAAGAGUUUCUUGGCACACUAGUGCUUUUCUAUAGCUUUUCGGUCAAUGUCGUUGUACUCUCUUAUUCCUUUAGGCACCACUUGCCAUGUUUCUUCAAUCUUCUUCAUGGGAACAUGUGGACCAUCACAUAUAAUGUCCUACAACUCUGAAUCUUCUGCAAUAAUGAAAUCAUGCAUCCUGGUCUUCCACCAGCCGUCGUAUUGACCAUUAAAUCUGGGAAGUCUAUAGAUUGACUGCUUCAAAGCUUGGUGGAGCAGCCAUAGAGGAUACCUCCUAGGUGUUAGGCUGAUAGGAGAAGCUUGCUCUAAUACCAAUUGAUAGCUGAUACGAGUCUUCUAAACUAUAGGGUACCUGGUCUUCUAUGUGAUAAUACGUAGAAUGCAGUAACUACUGAAUGUAAAGAAAGCCAGAGAUUCUCUACGUAGAAAAAUCCCACACAAGGGGAUCAAAAAAACAUGACCUACACCUGUAGGCUUUGAACUCAACUAACUUGUAAUCUACCUAUUACAAGAAACUUUUCAAACACUUAUUUCAAAGACUUCAAACUAACUUAUGAUGCACCACCAUAAGCCGCUCUAUAACCCACCUAGUUACAGAGGAUUUAACUUAUGACUACUCCUAGUCACAACAUAAACUCUAAAGUUUUUGAAUUUGGUUUGUUCGUAAGCCAAAGCUUAUAAUAAAGCAAACUAGGAAUUACAAUGUAGAACAAUUAACAAAAUUACAACUCAACUAUGGAUAUACAUAAGACACUGCUAGAAACUGAUCCUUAGUGGAGUUGUCUUCUUGUUAUUGACACACCAGUGAAUUCAAUGCUAGAUGAAUGCUUCUUCUGCUUGAGAGAAUAUCACUGAAUGCACACGAGAAGUGUAUCUUGCAUCGGGUUGUUUUAUCAUAAUAGGUAAUGUCAACUCUUGGUGUACUUCUUCCUAGUAAGAAGUUACUGUUGCAUUGUCUGCACAGCCGCUUCUGUCUGGAUAGUGGACUUUGUUCUUCAAUCAGGAUAAACUAAUGGACCUGGUCCCGAUUUUGUUCCUCAUUUAUAACAUUUUCUAGAUGGUCACUUUCUUUUGUUAUCUUCUAGCUGUGCAGUUGACAUGUACUUUUGUUAGAUAAUCCCACGAGAGGGGGUCUUUAUUAUUAUUCUCUUCUCUUUAUAUUGAUCGCAUGCAGCCAUUGACUUGUUCUGUUGUUAGAGACGUCUAAGGGACCAACGAAUCAGGUCCCUAUUGUCUUCCUCUCUGUGGUCGUUCAUCCAUUUUUUGGAUUUUCAGACUUCUAAUAUUUCACAUGAGAUGCGUAUCUUGUGGUACAAGGUUCUCUAUCUGGUUCUUCAUAACAAGUUUGUUAGAUCAUCAAAACAAAAGAAGCAUAAGGCUAAGACAUUGAAAACCCAUCAGAAGUUAUUUCAAAACUCCCUUCUCAUACUUCCGUCAAGGAAGUUAGGAGCUUUCUUGGGUAUGCGUGGUUCUACCGUCAGUUCAUCAAGGAUUCUCAAAGGUGGUGAAUCCCAUGUGAAAGUUGUUGGAAAAGGAUGCAAAGUUUAUGUUUGAUGAUGAUUACAUGAAAGCUUUUGAGCAUCUCAAAUGUAAAUUGGCUACCACACCCAACCAGAGCUUACCAUAUGAGCUCAUGUUCGAUGCUAGUGACGUUGUAGUAGGAGCGGUUUUGGGGCAAAGGAUCAAUAAGGUAUUUCAACUGGUCUAUUAUGCAUGCAAAAUGAUGAAUGACACCCAAGUCAAUUAUACUAUGACCGAGAAAGAGAUACUAGCCAUUGUCUUCGCCAUGGAAAAGUUCAGUCCAUAUCUCAUGUGUACCAAAGUGAUUGUGCACACUGAACACGCGACACUCCAUUCUUGAUAAAAAGGACUCUAAGGCUAGGUUUAUGAGACGGGUUUUCAUAAGGCCAUCAUAAGGCCUUAGCUUCUUUUCCAAGCAGGACUCUAAGGACAAGUAGGUUGAAGCUGUAGCUUUUCCCAACAAUGAGGCACGGAGUGCGGUGACUUUCUUAAAGAAAAUAUCUUCACAAGUUUGGCACUCCAAGGGUAAUCAUCAGUGAAGAGGGUUCUCAUUUUCGUAACAAAGCCUUUAACACUUACUCUCCAAGUAUUGUGUCACUCACAAGGUGUCAACUCCCUAUCACCCCAAGCAAGUAGACAGAUUGAGGUCUCUAACAGGGAGAUCAAGAAUAUUCUUUCCAAGACAGUCAAUGCAAACCAUACUGAUUGAUCAAGGAAAUUUGAUGAUGCUUUAUGGGCCUAUAGAAUAGCUUACAAGACUUCAAUUGGUAUGUACUCACAUCGAAUGGUAUUUGGGAAAGCAUGUCACCUUUUGAUGGAAUUAAAGCAUAAGGCCAAGUGGGCGAUGAAGAAGUUAAACCUUGAAUGGGAUGUAGCUGCAAAUCUCCAGGUAGAGCAACUAAAUGAACUUGAAGAGUUCCGGUUUCAUGCUUAUUCCAACUCGUCCUUGUAUAAGGACAAGACAAAGUAUUUACAUGACAAAUAUGCCCGAAAUCAAGGAGGGUGACUUGGUUCUUCUAUUCGUUUCUCAGUUAUGACUGAUUCUGAGAAAGCUCAAGUCAAAAUGGAGUAAUCCUUUUGAAGUGGUACAUGUAACUCUAUUUGGUGCUCUUGAUUUCAAAAACAAAAAUGGUGAAAUAUUUAAAGUUAAUGGCCACAAAGUAAACCACUAUCUUUGCAAGUUUGAUGAUAGCCACGUGGUGACAUUGAUCCAUUUCAAGUGAAUAUGGUAACAUGCGUCGUGCCGCGAUGUUCAAUCGGGCGCUUCUUGGGAGGCAACCCAUGUGCUUUUCUUUCUUUUUGAUUUUCUUCUUAGUUUAGGCUUUGUAUUAGACUAACUGGUUGUGAAGUUUGUGUAGGAAAUGUUUCUGCAGUGCAGGACUUUGGCUGGAAAAAUUUACCUAGGUGUGGGAAAUUUCGCAAAUCGCACCCAACAUUUAGCGGUCUGUGUUAGAAGUACGCGUGAGCACUAUUUGUUUGCGGACUCAUACUUAAAGAGCUCAAAAUAUCAGCUCGCUGAGGUAGAGUUCGCAUCCACGCUCAUAAUUUUGCGGACCGCGGUAGAAUUUUGUGGUCGCGUUUAUGUAAGUUAUGGGGUCCGUCUGCUAAGUAUAAAUAGGAGGUCCCUAGACCUUUUAUCCUUUUCCAACCCUAAACUCUUAGCACAUUGUUCAUCUAACUGUCUUCCGCUCUAAUUUCUUUUGAAUUAAGCGUUCUUUGUCUGCAAAAAAUUCACAUCUGGUAUGUUCAAAUCCAUGGACUAAUUUUAUCUGUCUCUUUUCUUUCCUUUUUGUUUUAAUUUUCCUUUUCAAUUUUUUUAGCUAGAAUGAAAUAUACCCAUUGAUCUAAAAUUACUAAUUAAGCAUAUGUGGGUAAUGUUUACAUUCCUAAAGGGGGAUACAGUUAGUAACUUUAAUUGCUAAGUGAAAGGAUUGGUUGCACUUAAUGAAAACCCUAGGUUACAAAAUAUUCUUCAAUGCCCGUGUUUUUGAAUUUUGCAGUCUGCGGUCCACUUUUUUGCAGUCUCGUUCCCUAAUUUGUGGGAAUCGUGUGUGUAUAUAAGUUUGAAAUUUGCGGUUACUUUUCCCGGUCUGCAGUUGGUUCUUCGAUUCUGUGACCAUGUUUUAUAGGAUCACACUUUUGAGAUCCAGAGAAGUCUGAUAAAAUCUUUUGUGGCCGCGUCUACGUUUUAGCGGUCCACGGUAUAUCAUUCACGGCCACGUCAAAAUAUGGUUUUGGGUAUGGAAUUUGUGGCAUCAACCCAUCGAGUUUAUCAUUUUUCUAAUUUAUUCUCUAGCCGAGUAUAAAAGAUUACCUUUUGAUCUAUCAGAACAAGAAGAAGAAUUAGUAGUAGGGCAUCAAACUGAAUAUUCAGGUACCAAAUUUGAUUUAUUUUACAUUGCUUCUCAUCUGAAUCUCUAGUUUCGCGAUCAGCGGUGAUCAAAGUUCAGAGAGUUAGUAGUGUGAUUCUAACCUUUUUGCGACCAUAGUUACUUUUUUUCGUCCGCGAUAUUCACUUUACGGUGGCGUUAACUUUUCUGCGAUCCGCGGUGCCUAGUUCUAAGAAGCAAUUUUGCAUUUCAAUUGCACUAUUUAACAUACUUGAAGCUUUUUUCUGAUUGUUUUUCUUUUCUUUUUCGGUGCAGACAAUGGUCUGAUCCAGAGGUGGAAGUGAUAAACCUAAAGGGAGGUCAGAACCCUCAUGAGGUAGGGGAAAAGGAAAGACCGAGUUACCACUAGCAGUCUAAAAAUCAAUUAGGAAAAUGUGAGCAGCCAUCAAAGCUACGAAUAGAGUAGCGGACCACUCAGAUACGAGUGAAUAUGUCUCUUCUUGAGAAGCUUCAGAAGGAGACUCGGUGCCCGUCCAUUUCCCCACACAAUUCUCGGAGAAAUACCAGUUAAGAGAUAAAACUACCUCCUCUUCUAAGUCGUUUGAUGGCUCAGAGGAAUGUAGUGAGGAUUCGACACCAACUUCCCCACCUGCUACAACUUCAGCUACACCGGCUGAACCUAUUUUGGUAGAUGAUGAUGAUGAUUUCCCAAAUGAAGGGAGAGGGAGUGACACCAAUAUUAAGGGGUUGGCUAGAUCUAAAAAAGCCUAGGUCUGGGAUGACCGAUUUGUGAGUGAGUUAGCCUACCAGAAAUUUUGAGAAUGGUGGCCCAAAAGGUGACUCACCUUGUCAAGGAAUUUUAUGCAAAUGUUGCCCGCAUCAAAAGGGUACCUCAGUGACAAAGGUCAAAAUUUGAAGAUCUGGUUUGAUGGGCACACUUUUAUUGAGUAUGCGGGUUUGAGGAUGUGGACGCAGUGCAAUAUUUGGAGAAAUUGGCACUUGAUGAAGCAACCUAUCUAUGGUUGGUAGAGAUAUUGGCUCCAAGGACGACACCGGCACGGCUCAGGGUCGGAGUCCCAAUAUACAAAAAGAACCUCAGUUUUAAAGCCAAGGGGUGGUCUACCUUUGUAUGCAGCCGGAUGGAUUUCUGCCAGCAUGACAAUGCCCUCAUACUCACCUGAUGUGUCUUGAUUGCAUCCAUCAUGGCAGGGUUUCCUAUCAAUGUGGUAAAACUCAUGUACUAUCAUAUUACGAAGGCAGCUAGAAAGGAAGAAAUGUCUUAUCUCUAUCCCAACUUCCUCACCAUAUACUUCGAGGAUCAAGGAGUUGAGAAGAAGAUUUAUGACACUAAAACAAAUCUGAAGAAGCCCUUCUCAUGGUAUAGCACAAAAUGACCGGACAACCCUAAAGCAAAGAGUAAAACAGUUAUCUCCACUAGCCAGCUUGAAGAGCUAUAGGUAGUAGCUGCCGGUUGGAUCCUUCCACAGUAGGGAGAUCUUCUGCCACACCUCCUCCUUCAUCUGGGACUUCCAUCACAAUGCCUUUCUGUGCCAUAUUCUUCCACAUACCCUUAGAUGCAUUGCAGGUUUUUCAGAUUUUAUCUAGCAUCAACAAUUAGAUGCAGGCAGCUACAUCAAAGCUUUUCAUCUUUUCCAACAUAAUGUCAACACAGUCAUCCUCGACAUAGCCCUAGGUGCAUUUAUCAGUCGACGAGUCGUUGAAAGAGCUUCUAGACAACCAGAAAAAGCUCCUGGACAAUAAUAGAAGAUCAUGGAUACUUUGGGUAUUCAUGGAAGGGCUAUAAAGUACAUGGGCAAGCAAGUAAAGAAGAUGAAGAAGACUCAGACUUCAAAGGAAUCAUUGGAGAAACAUAGGAAAAAUGUAGAGAGAUUCACAUCUACCGAUGAUAUUUCACUAGAUUUGCUCAUGGGGGAGCAAGUCCCAGCAAGCACCAGCAACUGGUCAUUUUGAGGAGCCAACUAUAACUACACAUAGUGCUGCAGAGUUGAUUCAGAUUAUGUUCAACCCCGUGGUCCCCCGGUCUCAUUUUGAGAUACAGUUAGAGGACCUGGAGGGAGCUACUGAUCCUAUUCAAUUCGAUGACCUAACUUAUGUACCUGACCAGAUAAAAACCACGUAGGGAGUUUUUUUACUCUCUAACCCUUCCCUUGAUCUUAUUUUUCUAUUAACAUUGAUGACGAUGCUAUCUUAUAUUUUGGGGGGGUGGGUCUAUUUUGAUUUGGUAUCUAAUAACUAUGACUCUUUUUCUUUCUUUACUUUUCUUAUUUUACUUUUGGUAUGUAUAUAUUCGUCACUUUCACAUUUGGUAUGUAUAUAUUUUUACUACUUGACGUAUAUAUUCAUUUUCAUUUAUGUAAAUAUUCGCUUUACUUCAAUUUUGUAUAUAUUCAUUUUUAUUUUUGUAGUUUACUUCAUAACUUCUUUCAUAACUUUACUUCAUAGCUUUUUAUUUCCUUUAGUACUUUCUUGUUAAGUUGUUAGCUUCUUCUUGCAUUUUUUGUGGACACUAAGCCUUUGGUUUUCUUAAUGCCACGAUUCAUCCCAAAGGUGGAUGUUGUAUGAACCGGGUGUCUCUUCCCGAUGAUGGAUGGUGUGACAACCUUCUUAAGAGUUUGAGUAUGUUUUCUUUAUGUUUUUUUAUAAAUAGUAGUAAUGAAUAAAAGUGUCUUAGGCAAGCUUUGCUUGGGCCUAACACAUUUACCUUUGGCCUUAUGGUUGGAAACAAGUUGAUUGGCAAAGAAUAGUUCUAGUUGUGACCUUUAGGCUCUUGUGCUGACCAAACAAUCAUCGAGUGGCUUCCUGGAGCCAUUUGUGUUGUUCAAUCUUAGCUAGGGUUGUUGUGGUCUCUUAACUAUGUUCUCUCUAGCAAUCCAGCAUCUUACGAGCUUAGGUAUUGAUUUGCAAGUCCAAGUCUCGUGCCAACAAGUCUAGCAUUUGCCCUAAAUAUUUGUCUAGGUGAAAUUCUAAGUGUAUCUCGACUUGAGAAAUUAUUAUAGACUCUCCUUGAUCCAAUUUGAAACUUGAAAGCAACCAUAGCCCACCAAAAAUGAUAUCCCUAGUCAACCGUCGAAGCCCUUGUUCUUUCAAUAACCAUAAUACAAACCUUUAUCUAUUUUAUAAUGACCCUCUCUUGGCACCCGAUCUUUCCUUAGAAUUUAGAAUUGGAAAAAGCAUAAGUUUGGGUGGAGAGACGAGGAAAGUGAAAGUGAAAAAAGGUACAAAAUGAAGAAAACGGAAGGCAAAAAAAAAAGAAAGAAAAUCCAAAAAAGUCAAAAAGAAAGUGAAUAGUAUAGAAAAAUGAAGGGAUUCAAUGAAAUCAAUGACGAAAGGCUUGGAAUGAUUAGAAAAGGAGAAAGGCUUGGAAUGAUUGUCAUGAACAAGAAAGAGUGACAAUGUGUCUCUUUAGUUCCCCUAAGAAGGAAGAAAAUGACUCAAAGAGUCAACAAAGUGUGUAAGCCGAAAUGAUAAAAUGAAGUGCUUAAGGAAAGAUGAAACCUUCAUAGACCAAUAAAUCCUACCUUGAUCCAAAAGCUUUCAUUAUAUUCCCGCAAAGCCCUAUAUGAUUUCAAGUUGAGUGGGCUUACAUUAGUGGUGAUUCAAAUAAGGGGUAAGCUUACGGUAAAAGCCGGACUUGUGUCGUUCCCGUUGUGAGAGAUCAAUGUACUUUUUCAGAAUCCUUGUUUUGAGUGCUUCAGUUCUUAUGUGAGAUUUGCUUAUGAAGAGUAGAGUAGAAAGGUGUGGUUUCCAUAACAUGCUACGUCCUACGUAAUAGAGCAAGCUUCCUUGGUGAAUUUAGUCAACUCAUGAUGCUCUUGUGUUUCACUAGAACGAUGGUACUCAAAAGGUUAUGCGAAGAUGUCCUCAUAUCCUCUUAGGAAACGAAUGUACUCUUCCAUUUCUGCUAGCGACAAGUGAAUGCUGAUGCGGGUCUACUUGGCGGUCUUGAUCCCAAAUUUACUUCUUUUGUGUGUAAUAUAGAUAAUUUAUUUGUGUUAAGGGUAAUUGUUAGCCCCAAUUGAUGCAUGAUUAAUUUGCAUUAGGCUAGCUGAAAUAUCCUUCUGUUUUGUUGAAGUGGGGCUAGGAAUUACCUUAUUUGUUUGAGGACAAGCAAACACUUAAGUUUGGGAGAGUUGAUAAAUGAGGAGUUUGACCAUUAUUUGCUCUUUUUUUUUUGCGUUUUGGGCUUUAAAUGCGUAAAGGUAUCCCCAAAAACUAACAUAAUAUGCUUGCUUACAAGGAUUGUUCACAAUGAGCCAAAGUGUCCAUGAUCAACUCAUAAAGGAGUCAAAACCUGAACAAAGACCAAGGCUGGGCUAAGAAUGCAGAAUGCAAACCGCGAUAGAAAAGUGCAGACGCGAAAUUGUCAUCAUGGACACGGUCAUGAAUUCACGGACCACGAAACGGAGAAUUAGAGAGGCUGAUUUUUGGCACAGUCAUGGAUGCGGACCGUGCUGGAAGUUGGCGGCCAUGAAUAUACUACCGCAAUAGUGUUGAUAUCUCGCUGACUGCAUUUCCUUAGAUUCAGAGAGCUCGCUAAAAGGGGAAAAAUGUUAAGAGUGAAACGCAUCACAAUUACGCGGCCGCGGAAGGAUCUCACGAGAACGCAGUGAAAAUUACGCGCUCCGCGAAACAAGUUCCAGCCAGUCUCAGAUAUGAAUAAACACGGAUCGCCCUCAUUAUUAUGUGGUCACAAAAGAAAGAGUGCGGCCGCGGUCAGAAUUACGCGCCGCGACCACGAAACUUCUGCAAUGGCAUUUUUGUCCCUCAAAUUCAACCUAGUAUAAAUAGAUCUUUUUUACAUUUUUAGGUUAUGCUAUAUUUUGCUGAAUACAUAAGACAGCUAGUUUUACCUUUUCAAGCAAUUUUGCAUAAGAUUUACCUUUUAACUUUAGAUUUUCAUCUUCUAAUAUAGCAUUUUGGAUUUUAUCUCUUUAUCUUCGAUUUCUACUAUUUUUAUGAGUAGCUAAACCCAUAGUUAGGGUUGUGACACAACCCUAGUGUAGGUAUUUAAUGGGUGUUGAAAUUUAGGGUUUGAAUGAGUAUGGGUUAGUAGUAUUUAGCCUAGUUCUUGCUAGAACCAAAGAAUUUGUGGUUGCAAACACUCACUAAUGCCUUAAUGACUUAGUCUCUACUUGAGAAAGUGGAACUAAGUUUACAAAAUUUAGGCUAACAAAGAAUUUUGUGAACUCAAUAAAUUGAUAGCCCCAAUUAAUGGGCUAAACCUAGAGAUAGUAAUACCCGACUUGAGCUAAAAUCACUUGAAUUGCAUGAAUACCCAUUUGAACUUGAGAAAGCCAAAUUGGAACAAAACACUCAAACUACCGAGAGAUAUGGAGUGAGUACCCGAGUGUGACAGCUAGAUUACGACCCCAAUUAUAACAUGUUCCCCUAGAUUUUUGCUACCCGUUAGGUAUCCACCUAGGCGGAAGUCACUACCCUAGUCCCUUUAAAUCUUCGAAAAUAAUCAGCAAAAACAUUGUUUAGUCUUAACUAUUGCAUGUUAUAAACUUUAAGUAGAAGUAGAAAAUAAAACCAACCAUUUAUGGAAGUACACUUAAGAGCAAAACCCGCAUCUCUACUCGGACAUAAACCUAACUCCAAACUAAUUAACUCCCUAUGGAUUCGAUCCCAAUCUUUGUUGGGUAAAACUGCAUCGACCAUCUUUGCUCCUUAAUAGUAGUGCAGUUUGGAACCAAUCACAUAACUCUCUUCUUUCGGUGAGUCCUUGUCCACGACGUAGAUGGGCCUUCAUUAUAGAGAAAGGAAGGUGGGGCGGGAAUCCUGAAGUAUGACUAUUAUUGUUCUCUAUAUGAUUAUGAGACUGGGUUCUCCCUCCGUAUGUUAUCUCUUCAUUCUUUUCUGGGCUCGAAUUGUACAAAGAUGAGCGAUCGAGUUGGUUAGUUGUGGUUAUUGUCAUCUUCCCAGAAUUUGGCACAUUAAGCAUUGUUAAUUUCAUCCCAAAUGGUUGGAGGAUACUUUAUCAACUGAUUCAAUAAUUUUCUGGUCGCUCUUGAAACCUCUCUACUCAACCCAUUCUGAAAGGUCGUGACUACUAUUCGUUUGGACAAUUUUUGGUAGGGUCAUCCUUACCUUGUUGAAUUGGGAGAGAGUCUCUCUCCCAAGGACUGCUUGAUGGCGAAGAUGUAGUUUACUCUUGUUUAUUAUGCUUUCUUGGCUCUAGCAUGCGCCGUUACAAACUUAUCGGCCAUUUUGUUUGAAGGUUUCUAUGGAGCGAGUUGGUAGUUGUGAAUAUCAUAUUAACGCCCCUCCCGUGAGAUUUUCACCAAAUUAAUGGAGAAAAAUAGAGGAAAUUUGUUCCUUGGUAAGGUCGUUCACUUCAUGGUGGUGAUAUAAUGAGUCACAUGAUCUUUGGAGUCAGUCAUUCCGUCAUAUAUCUUGAGAUACCACGCCGUUUUGAAGGUAUUUGGUAUGGCAUGCAGGGAUACUUCCUUGAUAUACGACUGCUCUAUGAAUCUACCUGCAUCCCUCUUUAGCAGUAGCUUAGGGGAGCCUGGUAUCUUGUCGACUCGUUCUUGGUAUUCUUUCAUUUGAUCUCUAUGGUGUUGGAGGAUCUGGUUGAUCUUCCUGCCAUUCUGCUCGUUGCAUUGUGUGGGCUCUUGUGGUCUCUAUGGUCGUGCAUGGAGCAGGUUUGUUGAGCACGCUUACUAAUGUAUCUGUCAACCAUGCUUCGAGGAGCUUUUUCAUAGCCGGUGGCGUCCCUUCUCCUGUGGGCGUGGAGGGCCCUUUCCCAUUUGAUUUUGUUAUGCUACAAUGCGAGGGAGGUGACAUCUCGUGCCUGGGGGAGGCAGUGGAUGUUACAUAAUCGCCUAAUGUUUCACAGCUCUGGUUGAUAGUGUUCAUGAGGUUUGCAAGGAGGUCAUUUGUCAUUUUUGUCCUAUCUACUUGGUUAACUUCCAUGUAAGUAUCCUACGAGCAAGGAAAGAGGGAAACUUUGUGGUUCAUUAGGUUAGCAACUCAUGCGAGUUGUAGAUCUAAAGGAAACUAAAAAAUUAGCUAAGAGAUCUCCACAGAUAGUGCCAAACUGUUCGACCCAAAAAUUUAGAUUUGAGUGCAACCACUUAGAUUUAAAUAAAAUAGAGUCAAUCUUAACUAGUUUAAUAUCCAAAAGACCGGAUUAUCGAUUUUAUGGCGGAUAGUAUGUAUAUCUAAUCGAAUGACAAUAAAUGUGAGCAAUACUAUUAAUGUUUAUGAUCCAAAAAGGUAGAAGAUAACAUUAAAUAAUAAUAGGUAGCAAUGAAUAACAUUUAAGUAAAUAAGAACGUGUGCAUCACCCGAAAAGGGGUGGAAUCUGUGAAUAUUCUUUCUGACAAUAAUGAAUGAAAGUAUUUGAACACUCACGGUGUUCUUGGACCAAGUGAAAAAGUUAGAUAAGGAUCUUAAAAAAGGUUAUUUUCUAAGCUUGCAAUAUGACCAGAUUCUCUCUAUACAGUCAAUGUAUAUUUUUACAAGUGAAUAUCUCAUGUCCCCUACCAUUGUGUCUCUUUUUAUUUAUCGGGAACAUAUUCCUAAAAACCUUGAUAGUAGAGGUACAAAGAAUAUCCACUAAAAUAUUCUCUUUUGUACCAUAUCUUAAAACUAGAUGCUAUGUUCUGUCUAAGAUGUUAGACCUCGAACUUGAUCUAUGAUGACUUCUCGACAUUGACCUUCACUAACUCUCCGACCGCAGCCUUUAUCGCUUCAUGGACCACUUGGACCUUGCGCUGGUAUUUAUUGAAGUCCUACUGAUGUCACAUGGCAGUCUGCGAGAACCUUUUUAAUGUUAACAUGGUUUGAUUAUGUCAAUGAUAAUUUUUGAACAUCGACAGAAAAUCUGAAUAUGUAAAUGUAUAUAUAUGUUAAUCUGUCAUAUUUUUGCCUGAAAUCUUUAAGAGCAUAUUUGGUAAAUCAUGUGGGAAGUGAAAUUGAGUGUAAUUACAUACUUUGGCAUGUUUGUUUGACCAAGUAGUUACUUGGUUGGUGAGAAAUUGAAUGUAAUUGAGAGGGAGUAAUUGCACCUACCAAUUCUCAAGGGGAAGUAAAGGAUUUGGUGUAAUUAUAUGUUAGUUACAAGGCAACAUUUUAAUUUCUUUUUUUCUUUCGAUAUUAUAUUAUUUAUUUGGGAAACAAAAAAGAUAGAAAAAGCACAUUAUUUCUAGUUCGCUUCUUCCCAACAAUGUCUUUGCAAUUUCACUCCAGGUAAGCUUUUUCUCCUUUUGUAUUUCAUGUUUUCUUGAUAGAUGAUUCCCUAUUGAACUCUUUUUAUCUCCUUAACUUCAUAUUGCCUUGAGCUAUGGUAUUGUUCACUAGAAUUUUUGGCCUUUUAAUUUUAGAAGGGUGAAAUUUGGAUAGAAGAAUAAUGUUAAUUAUGAGCAGACCAUUUAUACUUUACAACUAACGCAUACAUAUACAUUUUCUUGUUAUAUUCAGUUUCCAGAUUUUGAUAGUGUAUUAUAUUAGAAAGAGAAAAAAUGGAUCAUUAGCAUAAAUAUUAAUUUGCUAAAAUAAUAACCAUAUUUUACUAAUUUUAUUUCUCAAUCAUUAGCAUAAAUAUUUUUUUUGACGAUAAGGAAACAUAUAUAUUAAUAUAAGCAGAAACUUACACCGAAUUUACAUAGUCCCGUAGGACAUACUAUUGUUUAAUGUUACUAGACUAUUACAAAUACUGAAACUUAGUUGUUUAACUCCAAAACAAAGACCUUGCAUGUCCUUUUCCAAAACAAUUUCAAGAAAAAGAGGUGAGCGUGUAAGGUGAUAGCAUUUAUCAGGCUUGAAAUUCUUGACUACUUCCUUAGCUAGGCGAUCUGCUACUGCAUUUCCUUCCUUAAAAGUGUCCCUGAUCACCGGAGAUUUCAGUUGGUGCAUCAAUGAUCUGCCGUUAAACAAGUAUUAGUACUGGCAUUCUCAUCCAUAAGCAUCUUUAUUAUAUCUGUUGAAUCUGAUUCAAUCUCUAUAGCAGCAUAUGACAUCCCCACAACUAAUUUUAGUCCCUGUUCCAGUGCUAGAAAUUCAGCCUGCAUAGAGCAUGUUGUAUAGCAAGAUUUUGAAAAUUCUAUGAUCCAAUUACCAGAGCUAUUUCUAGAAACUCCUCCAAGACCUGCAUGAAGCUUUACUUUCAAGAAAGCUCCAUCAAUGUUAAGUUUUAUCAUAUUUAGAGGAGGGCUUCCCCAGUGGAUUCUAAUCUUGAUUGUAGAUUGUUGUAUUGGAUUUUUUUUCAGUAAAGAAGAGAUAUUCACAUAUUUCAUGGAGAACCUGGCUAAGAUUAAUAUCUAGGUCCAUAUUGUUGAUGUUGCAGUCAUUCUAUUUUUCCACAGAUUCCAAAUCGAAAAGGGGAGAAUAUUUUCUCAAGCAUAAUGGUGACGACUAUCUUGGAGAUGAGAGCUCUUUAGAAUAGUUAAACAGUUGGACAGAGCAUUACUGUGAUUGACUAAUAAACCAAUACUUGACCAAUAACAGGUUUGUUGGCCCAAGAACAUGUGAUGUUUUGAUUGACAAAAAAAAUCAGACAUAGAUUAGGUCCAUCUUGUGAAGCACAGUCAUAAUCAACAUGUACAAUGCGAGAUACAUGUGAAGGGGAUAAAUCUGAUUUAUCAAGAAGCAAUAUCUCCUGAUCUGAAUAAAAAGCUCACAUAUUUGAUAAGGAGAGAAAGACUCCUUACAUGGAGAGAACACAGUUUAGGAUGAAGAUAGUGUUAGAGUUUGUGACAAGAUACAAAAUCCACUAAGGGUCGUGAUGGGUAGGACACCGUUGUCAAGCAAGCCAACCAGAAUACUCAAUUAAAUUUUCGUUUUAAUAAUUUUUCAAAAUUACGAUUUUCCUUUAAUUUUACUAGUAAAAGGUAAUCAUUUCAAAUUAAAUAUAAAUGUUAAGAAGUUACUACAAGAUACCCCAUAAUCAUUCCAAAAAUCGGUCUCACAAGUGCAUGAACAUUUACUAGGGAAUGAAAUAAAAUGUCGUAACUGUCCGGAAUACAAAGUGGACAGAAAUGGAAAUACAUUACAAUACUCUGAAGGAGAUUCUGCUGACUACAGACGUUUCGAUAAAUAUAGCUCACCUAAUUCUCUGUAUCAACCAUACCACUGUGCCACUAAGCCAUUAGCCACACAUGAACCUAUGCAACAAAAAUACACAGCAAGUGUAGUAUGAGUAUGAAAAUAAUGUGAACCUAGUAAGUAUCCCAUCUAAUCUCGAAGAAAUAGAGAUGAGGGGUCGACUUCGACACUUACUAGUGGUCCGAUAAUAACAUACUAAUAAUAUAGUAAAUCAUGAAUUUUUAUAAAGAUGGGUGUAACUCAAUAACUUGAACCAAGUAAGCAAUUUUUUCAUCAAAGGGAGAUUUUCAAAUUUAUUUUUCAUCAUUUAUACAUGUAUCUCAAGUCAGAGAGAGAAAAUACCAACAUCUAUAAAUCCCAAGUAAAGCAAUACAAGCAUGCACAAAUCAUGUCGAGGAAGUACGACCAGAUCCAAUAAUAUUUAAAUUGUGCAAUGCCAGGGUCGAAUGGCGCGAAACAUAGAUGCAUCUAUUACCCCGCUCGCGAAUCAUACAUGCGACGCGGUCAUACAUAAAUAAACACAACAAUCAGUCAAUCAACAAGUCAUCAAGGAACAAUUAUCCAAUGAAAAGUCAAUUCUCUUUUAACAAUUCAAGAAAAUGAAGUUUCAUCUUAUUAGAAAUUUAUUUACUAAUUCGAUGUGAUUUAAGUAAUUCAAACUGUCACAAAGAUUAUAAAUAUUCCAAGAAUAGCAUACCUUUGAGCCCUAGACUACCCAGAAUUUAAUAUAAUAGUGUCUAUGCACGGACUCUCGUCACCUCGUGCGUACGUAGCCUCCAAAAAUAGGAGCAUAAAUCUAAUUAAUUAACCUAUGUGGAUAAUUCCCUCUUACAAGGUUAGAAAGGAGACUCACCUCGCUCCGAGGUUCUACAACAGGCUUCCAAGCCCUUCCAACGACUCAAAUCGAUGAGCAACGCUCCAAAACUAGCCAAAAAAUGAGAAAAUCCAUAAAUAUAGGCUCUAGUACUCACAACAAUUCAAUUUAGAUAAAUUCCUAACUCCACUCGAAGAGUUGACUAAAUCGCCCUCGGGCCCACAUGCACGGAUUCCAAAAAACUCACAAAUCUGGCAACUCAUUUUGAUACGAGUUCAACCAUACCAAUUUUUAUUAAAUUUCGAUAACGAAUCGACCUCCAAAUCUUGAAUUUUUGUUUUUGAAAAGUUUGCCAAUUUUAUCUAAUUUAUUUCAUUUGAUUCACUAGUACUUGAUUAAAAUAACCAUGUAACUGUUAAAUAUAAUCACUUGAAGAUAUAGAACAUAUACCCCAGUCCAUAUGGUGAAUCACCUCAAAAAUCACUUUAAUACGAGCUCCAUAGCUCCAAAAACGAGUAAAAAUCUUGGACUGCUCGAUUUGUACACUGUCCAGCAUUUUUGCACCUGUGGUUAUUGUUCACGCACUUGUGGUACUGUUCAAGCACCUGCAAAAAAUACAGCAGCUGCCUAGAAAUUUCAGCAGCUUUUAAUUUAACUAAAAACUCUAACUCCAUCAUACGAACUCGGAAUUCGACGAUUCUUGUUCCUAUAAAACACUAUAAUAAUACAAAUCUAUUCCUUCAGUAGAAACUCAAUUCUGAGCUCAUUUACUCAAUGUCAUACCAAUUUUGCUCGUUAGAGAAUUAACUCAUAUUUUGCACUAAAAACUCAAUCGCGACUAUAUGAAAUUAGACAAAACUUUUUGGAUCACUCAUACAAUUCCUUAUCAAAAUCCUUGAAGUCUAGAAAUUGAUUUUUGAUCUCUAGAAUUAAAAUGGACCUUUGGAUCAUCACAUGUUUAUGCUCAAAAUGCCAAACUCUUCCAAAAACGCCUCCAAAACUUAUUCAAGCCCCAUGGGAUCCCAACCUAAUGGGUUUGACUUAACCUUAUGCGUCUGUUUUUUGAUGAUCUAACAAAUUUAUUGUAAAGAGCCAGAUAGAGAACUUGCUCCACAGGAUACACAUCUCGUAUGAACUGGUUGAAGCUUGAACAUCAACGAAUGGAUGAACGACCAUAUGGAGGAACACAAUAGGGACCCGGUGACCUGGUCCCUUAGGUUUCUCUGACAAAAGCACAAGUUAGUGACUGUACACAUUCAAUAAAGAGAAACACAAACAGGGACAUGCUCCCUUGGGGUUCUUUGACAGAAGAAUAGGUCAAAGUGCACAGCUGGAACGUAGUAGAAGAAAGUUCAUCAAGCAACUGUUGCAGAAGAGGAACAUAACUAGGACCUAGUCCAUUGGUAUGUCUUGACAAAUGUAUUAGGACCUAGUUCAUCGGUAUGUCCUGACAGAAGCACAAAGUCCAACUGGAGCGCACCUGCGUAGAAGUGGCUGUGCAGACAGUGCAACAGUCACUUCUCUCUGAAAAGAAGUAAGCCAAGAGUUGAUAUCACUAUCUAUUUUGAUAUCUUUUGUUAUAAAACAACCUGGUACAAGACGCACUUCGUUCAUGCACUUCAGUGAUAUUCUCUCAAGCUAAACAAAGUUCAUCUAGCAUUUGAAGUCGUUGUGUAUGUCAAGAACAAGAAGAACUCCACUAAGGAUCAACUUCUAAUCGAGUAUUUUUAUGUCCAUAGUUGAGUUAUAAUCUUGUUAAAAUCUUUACAUUGUAAUUCCUAUUUGGCUUUCUUAGAAGCACUAUUUUAGGAACAAACCAAAUCCGUAAACUUUGAAAUUUGUGUUGUGACUAGGAACAAUCAUAAGUUGAAUCCUCUGUAACUAUGAGAGUUAGAGAGUGGCUUGUGGUGGUGCAUCACAAGUUAGUUUAAAGUCUUUGCAAAAGGGAGUUUGCAAAGUGGCUUGUAAUAGGUAGAUUACAAGUUAGUUGAGUUCAAAGCUUACUGGUGUAGGCCGUAGUUUUUUUAUCCCCUUUGUGUGGGAUUUUGCAAUGUAGAAAAAUCUUUGGCCUCCUUUACAUUCAGUAUUUACUACUUUCAACGUAUCAGUCUUAUAGAGAACUAGAUACUCUAUAGGUUGGCGAAUUCAUACAGGCUAUCACAACCAAAUAUACUAACAAGUCUCAUAAAUGACACGAACUUAGUCGAUGCCUCAAAUUACAUUGAAUAACACUAAAACAUGAAUUGCACUCCAAUUCAAGCUUAAUGAACUUUAGAAUCUCAAACUUCUACAUUCGAUGUCGAAAUGUAUUAUAUCACAUCCGAUUGACCUCAAAUUUUGCAUACAAGUCGCAUUAGACGUUAUGGAGCGACUCCAACAUUUGGAAUUGGAUUCCGACCCCGAUAUCAAAAGGUCCACUUCUGGUCAAACUCCUUAAGAACCUUCAAAUUUCUAUAUUUCAUCAAAUGACUCCAAAAUGACCCCCGGACCUAGCAAUUCACUUUUGAUCGCGCUCCCAACACCAAAAUCACCAUACGGAGCUAUGCCCAGACUUGGAGUCCUAAGAAAACAUCGAAAAACUGAAAUGAACUUCAACCCAAACUUAUGAAAUUCUUCAAAAAAUGCUAACUUUCACUAUAGACACUGAAAUGUUCCUGAGUCUUCCAAAACUUGAUCUAGGCAUACAACCAAUCUAAAAUCAUCAUACAAAUCUACUAGAAACUUUGAAUAUGGAUUCCAAGGUUGUUUACUCAAAAUCCAAUGUUAGUCAAUUCUUUCAACUUAAAGCUUCCGAAAUAUGAAUUCACUUUCCAAAUCAACUUCGAACUUUUCGAAAUUCAAUUUCGACCAUGCAUAUAAUUCAUAAUACCUUAAGUGAAGCUGCUCAUGGCCUCAAACUACAGAAGGGCAUGCUAGAGCUCAAAACCAUUGGUCGGGUCAUUACAGUUUGAGAUCACCAUGAACUCUUCUAUGAUAGAAGAGUAGCAAUUGAAUCCCAAUCAAACUCUAAUUACUAAUCUAUUAAAUAUCAGUGUUGUUCUCUUUUACAUGUAAUGCACAUAAGUAGAAGUUAAUCUUAAAUUGACAAAAAAAGAGCAACGCGAUUUUGCAAGCAAUUUAUGUGAGAUUUGAGUGUACAAUCUUGAAGCUACUUGAACGAGAUAGAAGAACCAGUUCCGUGUGUCUAUCUUUUAUUCUAGUUCAAUUGUGGUAGGUGAUUUUAUAUUGUACCUUUCAGCUUUCAUAGAAGCAAUUGUAUUAGGUGCGUAGAGUAUUCAAGUUAGAGUUAACUUGAAGUUGUCGCAACAGUUGAGGCUGUGUGCCACAACGAGAUUAGAGUUAAUCCUUAUAUUUACAAAGAGUUUAUUAAAUGCUAUUUUGGCUUAGUGAUUUUAGUGGUAGUUUGGAAAAAUCCUACUAAGUAGUAGGUCAUAGUUUUUUCACCUUUUGAUCCUGGUGUUUUCCACGUAAACAUCUUUGUGUUAUUUGUUUUUUGUAUUUAUUAUUCCGCAAAUAGUAGUAGUUGGAAAACUUAGAAGAACCAAGUUCUUCUGUAGUUCAGCUAAGCAAAAACUGGGUAUCACACAAAUCACCCCCUCCCCUCCUGUAUGGAAUUGACGUUUAACACAUCAAUUGGUAUCAGAGCGUGUUAUCCUUGAAGAGGCUAACACCUUAGAAAAAUAUCAAGAUCAGUGCACCACCUGGAAAUGGGGAAGCGCAAUCCACUGUUAGGCCUCCACUCUUUAAUGGUCAGUACUAUUUUUGGUGGAAGAACGGGAUGAGAGAUCACAUCAUAGGAGAAGACUAUGAACUCUGGGACAUAGUAAUUGAUGGUCCCUUGGCGACUGCGAAGAAGAAUGCUGAGGGACUGGACGUGCCAAAAAUAAAAGUUGAUUGUACUAUUAAAGACUUGAAGAAAUUGGAGAAGAAUGCCAAGGACAAGAAAUGGCGUGUGUGUGGACUGGGUCCAGACGACUACAGCAGGAUUCAAAGUUGUACCACUGCCAAGGAGAUAUGUGACACUUUACAAGUGGCUCAUGAAGGAACUCCUCAAGUAAAGAGAUCAAGAAGAACACUACGAUAUUCUCAAUAUGAUAAUUUCACUAUGGAGGAAGGAGAAACUACCCAGGAGAUGUACACAAGGUUCACAACACUAACAAAUGAACUUAAAUCUGUUGGGAGAAUUAUCCUUGAAGAAGACAAUGUUGAGAAAAUCCUGACAAGAGUCUUACCAGUGACUUGGGAAAGCAAAAUUACUGCUAUUCAGGAGUCAAAGAACAUUGCUACUCUCAAGUUGGAUGAACUAACUGGAAACCUCACUGCCUAUGAACUGAUAAGACAAACCAUGAAAAUGGAUGCACCCAAGAAGGAAAAAAGUCUGGCUCUCAGAAAAGCUGAAGGUGCAGAUCUAGAGGAUGGUGAAAUAGCCAUGAUCAUAAGGGAUUUCAAAAAGUACCUAAUGAGAGGAAAGGUUUCUUUAAGAGGUAAAACUUUCAACAAACCAAGGGCUCGUGAGAAAUAGACUAACGAGGGUUGCUAUAAUUAUGGUAAGACUGAUCACAUGAUUAAGAACUGUCAUCAAUGGAAAUUGAAUGGAAGAAGGAACUGGCUGAACGAAGGAACAGGUUCAACACAAAAGGAACAAAGGAUCAACAAAGGCUAUAGUUGCUGCUUGGGGAGAAACAUCAUAUGAGGAUUCAGAAAAUGAAGCUGGAGAUGAACAAGCACUUAUGACCAUUGGAGAACCAAAUGAUGAAUAAGAGAUAAGUAUCCUUCAUCUCAAAGACAAGAUAUAAUUUCUGUCUAAAGAAAGGUUGUCUGAACUAUUGCUGGACUUCAUCGAUGAGUCUAAGAUAAUUAAAAAUGAGAAAGAGGAGCAUCUUGAGGAGUGUGUGAUCUUAAAAGCCAAGUGCAAGAACCUAGAAUCUAGGGCUAAUGAGAGUGACAGUAAAAAUGCUAAAUUAAAGAACCAGGUUCUUGAACUUGACACCACUGUCCUAGAACUUAGGCCUAAAAAUUUAAAACUAAAAUUAGGAACAGGUAAGACGAAAGCUGAUCACCGACAUCUCACCUUAGAAUAAAACUAGGAAUAAAUGAAGGAUGAUUUGUAUAGGAAAGAUGAGCAGAUAAGAGUCUUAAAAGAAGAUCUAGGGAAGGUAAAGCAUGAACUAGACAGAACUUGCAAAUGGAAGGCUUCUGAUGCACUAUCUUGGGAACACGAACAUCACAGUAGCAACAAGAGAGGACUUGUCUUUUGGGUACAAGCACCUAAGUGGGACCCCAAAAGCAAGUACCUCACUCUCCCUGAAAACAAAAUCUUCACACACUGUGGCAAGACUAGUCAUUACAAAAAUGAAUGUUAUGUAAAAGAAAAGGCCAGUCAAAGGAACAAAGCCUUUGUUCAAGAGGAAAAUAGGUUGCCUGGGUGGGCUAAAAGGAAUUUGAUUUAUUCCUUUGCCUAUAGAAAGGGACCCAAACUAGUUUGGGUUCCUAAGACUAAUCCCUGAUUUCUUUUUGUAGGUCCAAGUGAAGGGAAGUAGCCAAAUAUGGUACAUGGAUAGUGGAUUCUCAAAACAUAUGAUUGGAAGCAAGAACCAAUUCCUUUCACUUGACGACUUUAAAGGAGGUAAUGUCUCAUUUUGGAAAUGGGAAGAAAGGUGAGAUUAUUGGUGUUGGAAAGGUAGGUAAGACAGACUCGUACUCCACUAAGAAUGUCUACCUAAUAGAUUGCUUGAAAUAUAGUCUAAUCAGUGUAUCACAACUGUGUGACAGAGGUAACCUUGUAGCAUUUACCUUUUACCAAAUGCUUUGUGAUUAACCUUACCACUGACAAGAUUGUUUUGAAGGGAAAAUGAGUUAACAAUAUUUACACUGUAGAUUUGUCUACUCUUUCAUAAAAUGAAUUCACUUGCUUAAGUGUGUUGGACAAUGAUCCUCUCCUGUGGCACAAAAGACUUGGUCACACAAAUUUGAAUCAACUCAACAAAUUAGUCUCCAAGGACUUGGUGAUAAGGUUACAUAACAUCAAGUUCAAAGAAGAAAUUUUUUUAAGGCCUACCUAACAUCAAGUUCAAAGAAGAAAUUUUUUUUAAGGCAUGUGCAAAGGGGAAGCAGGUAAGAUCAUUCUUUAAAGCAAGAAAAUGGUAAGCACAACCAGGAUGUUCGAUCUGGUUUAUAUGGAUUUCUGUGGUCAAAUGAGAACAUUGAGCAGAGUUGGUAAGAAAUAUGUGAUGGUACUUAUUGAUGAUUAUUCUAGGUUUACCUGGGUACUAUUCUUAAUAUCUAAAGAUGAAGCAUUUGACAUGUUUACUGCCUUUGUUAGAAAGACUCAGAAACAACUAGGUAAUCAACUUGCAUCCAUUAGGUAUGACCAUGGAACUGAAUUUUAAAAUACUAAGUUUGGUGAAUUUUGUGAUGAGCAUGGAAUAGAUCAUAACUUCUCUGCCCCUAGGACUCCUCAACAAAAUGGAGUAGUUGAAAGAAAGAACAUGACUCUUGAAGAUAUGGAUAUGACCAUGCUUCUUUCUAGUAAAUUGCCCCACAGCUUAUUGGCAGAGGCUGUAAAAACUACAUGUUAUAUCAUCAAUAGAUGCAUGACUAGACCUCUUGUAGAGAAGACUCCCUAUGAGUUACUUAAAAAGAGAAAACCAAAUAUAUCUCAUCUUAGGGCAUUUGGAUGCAAGUGUUUUGCACACAAUAAUGGAAAGGACUCCCUAGGUAAGUUUUAUCCCAAAAGUGAUGAGGGAGUAUUGUUGGGUUAUUCUUUACAUCGCAAAGCAUAUAAAGUGUUCAAUAAAAUAACAUUGUGUGUAGAAGAAUGCGUGAAUGUAGUGUUUGAUGAAACUAACAUUCUUUCUAAGAGACAGGAACAUGAAGAUGAAGCUAUUAGGCUGGUAAAAGAUUUGACCGAAGUCUCAGCACAAGCUAAAGUGGAACCAAAAUAAGGAACAAGUUCUUCCAUCCAGGGAAACCUGACAGGGGGAACUGAUCAAAGAGAAACUGAAACCAAUCCUCUAAAGGAAACCUGUUCCUCAACUACAAAACAUGGGAGAAACGUCAAGCAGACAUCAGUUGGUUGUGAAACCUCAUAAGUAGCAAAGUUCUCAUCCUAUUGAGAACAUAAUUACUGAUCCAACAUCUGGAGUCAAAACUAGAUCACAAUAAAAAAUAUGUGUGCUUUUGAUGCUUUCCUAUCUAUUAUUGAACCCAAAAAUGUUAUUGAGGCUUUGCAUAAUGCACAUUGGGUAAAUGCAAUGCAAGUUAAACUCAAUCAUUUCGAGAGAAGUCAAGUUUGGCAUCUAGUUCCAAGACCCAAGGAAAAAUCAGUAAUUGUCACAAAAUGGGUCUUCAGAAACAAACUUGAUGAAGAUGGAACAAUUACAAGAAACAAGGCAAGACUGGUGGUCCAAGGUUAUAGCCAAGAGGAGGGUAUAGAAUAUGAUGAGACUUUUGCUCCAGUUGCAAAACUAGAGGUAAUAACACUCCUCAUAGCCUUUGCAACACUCAUGGAAUUCACUCUUCAUCAGAUGUAUAUCAAAAGUGCCUUCCUAAAUGGCUACCUGAAAGAACAAGUGUUCGUGAAACAAACUCCAGGGUUUGAGAGCAAAGAAUGUCCUAAGCAUGUGUACAAAUUAGACAAGGCUCUUUAUGGAAUCAAGCAGGAUCCUAGAGCAUAGUAUGAACGAUUGUCCAAAUUCCUUCUUGAACAUGGGUACAAAUGUGGUAAAAUUGAUAGUACUCUAUUCUUGAGGGAAAAGGGUAAAGAUCUUCUUGUGGUAUAAAUAUAUAUUAAUGACAUUAUUUUUGGGGCCAUCACUGAAAACUAAGUAAGGAUUUCGCCAAAUUAAUAGGGAGUGAGUUUGAAAUGAGUAUGAUGGGUGAGCUUAAUUUUUUCUUAAGCAUACAAAUCAAAUAAAGCCUAAAUAGAACCAUGAUCCAUUAGUAGAAAUAUGCACAAGAGCUGACCAAAAAGUUUAAAAUGGAUGAAUCAAAGGAAAUAGACACCCUCAUUGCAACAACCACUAAAUUAGACAUAGAUGAACCUGGUUCAUCUGUUGAUCGGAAGUUGUAUAGCGGUAUGAUUAGUUAACUUUUAUAUCUUACUGCCAGCAGACUUGACAUAGUUUUCAGUGUAGGGCUUUGUGCCCGCUUUUAGGCUAAUCUAAAAGAAUCUCACUUGAUUGAUGUCAAGAGGAUACUGAGAUAUUUGAAAUGAACUACUGAUCUAUAUCUUUGGUACCCUAAAGGUAGUAAUUUCAAUCUAGUAGGGUGUGUUGAUGUUGAUUAUGCAGGUUUCCUUCAAACAGAAGUUUGUUGCACUACCCUUGAGCUUCUAAAACUAGUAGGCAAUAAUCUUGGUCAACUCCUCAAAAUUGACAUCUGCAUUUCUACUACCACCAGAGGUCGUUAUUCUCGUAUUUGCAUUGAAUUACCACUCAAAAAACCACUAAAAAUCCACGUAUAUAUUGGCACACACAAGAAAAUUGUCAUGUUUGAGGGAUUGAAUAUUCUCUAUCUCUAUUAUAGGCACAUUGGACACAAUACCAAAGCAUGUCUGUUUCAUGUUUUGAUGAUUGAUAGUCUUCCUCCCCUUCAAAAUCACCAUAUACUACUUCUAACGCCACCACUGCCCUCCCUGCACAGCCCCUCUCUAGUGACACUCUGUGGCAAACAUCCAGUUUUGCCCCAAGAUCGAGACGUUGCAAUGGUACUACCAAACCUCCACCUCCUCGAUCCCCACUUUCUCCAGUACGACGCACGUCUUCAACAGAACCACCAUCUCAACCCAUCGAAGUAGCUCCUCUAAUCCAUAACGGGUCUCCAGGUACAUCUCUCACCACUGUAUCGUAUAAAUACACCCCCUCUAUUCCCCGCUUCUUUGAUUUCUCCACCUUUUCUUUAAUUAACUCUAAUGACGCUUUUAAUGAAACCUAAAAUCUUAACCAACUUACCCUUAAUCCAUCCUCAUUCACGCCUAACCGUGUGACUAAAUCACCUGACCAUUUAAACCCUAGCUCCCCUCCCUCAAAAAUUUCCAACCAAAACACUAUCCUACACCUAGCCUAAUCAUCUGCUAUCAAAACAGCCCAAGCCAAAUUAUCCCCACCCGCCUCUCCUUCCCCACGGCGUGGGAUUUUAACCCAAAUUGCCCCACCCUAAUCGGCCCAUACCCCUCCCAACCCGCUCGCCUUUUCACCGCCACACUCACAAAAUUUUCUACCCCCACCCCUCUCAACUCUAAUUACAACCCAACACGUCUCCAAUUCCACACUCCCAUGACUGCCUCUUGCAGUAAAAGUUGAUACUGACUCAUCCCUUCCAUACUCCCCUCCCUCUCCAACGUACCCCUCCAUAGUCCAACUAAGCUCCACCUAAGCUCUAUACUUCAGACUCAUCCAACUCAACCUCCCUCCUCAGACACCUCGUUUCUCAAUAAUCAUCACACUCCUUCUACGUUAAUAUCCGCCCAUGCAGUGAUUUCUUCCUCUUUAUCUUGGACAUUGACUUGUCCGCCCAUACACACACUCUUACUUCUAUUACCACUGAUCCCUUGUCUCUUAACCAUAAUGGAAAACACAAUACUCCAUCUCCCCCAACCACCUUGUCCGACGAUAUUUGUUACUCAAACCUCCUUGGAUAUUCCCCUGCAAUCCUGGCUCGAACAGGGCCUUUCAGAUCAAGCUCUCCUCUUUCGCCUCACACUCAAUGACCAGGAGAUAGUUGUAGUUCUUCAAAACUCCUCCUACUUGGCUCAAAUUGUCUCGGGGGGAAUGGGACUCUGGAUGGAUGCCUUCGGUCAGUCCCAUUGGUCAUUGAACUCCCCACCUCCUCACACUCUCCUACCGAUCUGAGAAGUCCCGUUCUGUCACCCACCACUCCUAGGUCCGAUUUUUCAUUCAUGGAAUGCUCAUAAAACCAUAAACCUUCCUCUAAGAAUCCCACCCCUUACCAACAACCCCACAAGCUCCCUCCAUUAUCCCUAUGAUCCACCCUUACCACCACCUCAAAUAUUUCGCUCCAAACUAGAUGCAACAACAAGACCUAGCAUCCACUCUAUUAGAGAUGAGAGAAACAUGUCCCUCCCAUGCAACUCUAGACACCUUUUGCAGCUUUGUCUUAAAAGAGUAGUAUGUAAAAAAAAUUGACUCAAAUGCCCGUCCAAUCUGAUAAAGUGUUCUCUCACUGUUCGUCCAACACAAAAUCCCGAACUAGGCAAGUAAACCAUAGUGCUGAUCCCGACCCUACGUCAAGAGAGUCCUUUAUCAUCGGAUACUUAACUUGCUUCAAUUCCCAUGGAGUAUCCACCGACCGUACUACCUGACUCUGAUGACCCUCCCCUCACCCCAAAUUUGAAUUUAUGCUUUCCAAUUGUAGAGAUUCCCAUAACAGUGAUUUUUAUCGUAGUUUGUGCUCAUUCCUUGAUUACCAUGCCCCUACUUUACUUGUUGUUUUUGAAACUCACAUGCAAAACCACACCGCUUUACAAGAAGAUUUUGGAUUCACCCGCUUCUAUGAAGUUCCGGGUAGGUCAAUCAGGAGGUAUUUUAAUGAUUUGGCAUGAAAAACUUUUAUCUGUUGAAAAUGUAGCUAUGACUGAACAGAAAUCCAUGUCUUGAUCUAGGUACAUACUAACUAUCCAAAGUCUUUAUUUUUUGCAAUUCAUGCCAACCCUUAUUAUGAUAACCAUAUGUUAUUAUGGCAAAAUCUCAUGUGUUUAUUUGACCACUACAAGGGACCCUAUCUCAUUAGGGGUGACUUUAAUGAAAUUCUUCAUUUUACUAAAAAAUUUGGUGGUUGUAUUAUUAAUAAUUCAUGCUCAAGUAACUUCGAGGACUGUAUUAAUUGUUGUAACUUAGUAGACCUUGGCUAUAAGGGUAGCAAAUAUACCUGGACUAAUAAAUGUAAGUUAAAUUCUAACAUUUUAGAAUUCCUUGAUAGAAUUUUUGCAAAUUAUGAUUGGCUCACUUUAUUUCCCGACGCCUUAGUGCAUCACUACCCCCGUGCCCAUUCCGACCACUCACCACUUUUACUCACCCUUCGGCCUUCGCACAUUACCAAAUCACUCAUUUUUCAACUCCAAUCCAUGUGGACCACCCAUCCCGAUUUUAUUAACAUCCUUCGGACAGUUGGCACUCAUCUCCUACCUUUGUAGAAGACAUCACCUCCUUUAAACAUAAUAUCAACAACUGGAAUAAAGACUCUUUUGGCAACAUUUUUCAUUGAAAACGCCACUUACUUGCAAGGUUAGGAGGUAUCAAUCCUCACCCCUAGCUCUUUCUUACAACAACUAGAAAGUACUUUAUCACAUGAAUAUAAUGAUAUUCUUCGUCUUGAAGAAGAAUUUUGGAAGCUCAAAUACCGUAUCUAAUGGCUACAAGAUGGUGACAGUAAUACUAAAUUUUUUCAACUUCCACAUUAUACCGCCAUUGUAAGAAUUGUAUUCAUGCUUUAAAUGACCCCGCCGGUAACUGGUGCUAUGAUGACCUUUACAUUCAUGAUACUAUUUUCGAUUACCUUAACACAUUUUACACCAUUGAUUCUACACACUCUCGGCUACAAUCCACCCCUCACUGUUCCUCACCCAUCACUCCAGCUGCCAGUGUGGAACUACUCCGCUCAUUAUCAACAAGCGAAAUCUAUUCAACCGUUGAUUCUUUUAAACCCUUCAAAGCACCCGUACCAGACGGACUACACCAUUUCUUUUACCAACAUUACUGGCCGGACGUGGGACCAAAAGUCAUUGCUUUCUGUCAUCAUAUAUUCUCAACUUUUCAAAUUCCUGAAUCCAUUAACCAGACUUAUGUGUAUCUUAUUCCAAAAGUUUGUAAUGUGGCCAUGAUUACUCAAUAUAGCCCUAUUGGCCUGUGUUCCGCAAUUUAUAAAAUCAUUACCAAACUUUUAGUGCAAUGUAUUAAACCUCUACUACCUCUACUUAUCAGCCCUACCCAAUCUAGCUUCCAACAACAUAGACGGGCAACUGAUAAUGCUAUCAUUAUACAAGAAAUUCUUCAUCACUUUCAGAAGAAAUCAGGUAAAACUAGUCUCAUGCUCCUUAAGUUGGAUCUAGCAAAAGCUUUUGUCCGAUUAGAAAGGUCUUUUGUUCAACAACAUCUCCAAAUACUUCAACUUUCCCUCUCCCAUCAUUCAAUUAAUUAUGUCUUAUGUCACUACUUCCUCCAUUUCCAUCCUUAUCAAUGGUACUUGAACCUCUUUAUUUUUACCUUCACGUGGCAUUUGUCAGGGAGAACCCUUGUCCCCUUACUUUUUCAUACUAUGUAUGGAAUUAAAUCAAAAUGGCCGUCGACUAUCAACAUUGGAAACUUGUUCGUCUUUCCGCUAGCUGCCCCGCCCUCUCUUACUUGUUUUUUGCAGACGACAUUAUACUCACUUCUACCAUGUCAAUCUGCAGUUGUCAUACUAUCAUCGACACCCUCAAUGACUUCAAUCGUGUCCCGGGUCAAAAAAUAAACUUCCAGAAAUCAAAAAAAAAAAAUUCUCAAAAAAUGCUACUUACCAGGAUAAAACCUUUGUCCUAUCUUCUUUUAAUAUGACUAAAGGAAUAUCUUUUGGUAAAUAUCUGGGGUUCCUGAUCUUUACUGAGCGACCCUCCAAGCAACGCUUCCAGUUCAUCCUUGAUAACUUUACAAAAUAGCUUAUGAAUUGGAAAUAAAUUUUCUUACUAUGGCGGGGAGCACUACCCUUAUUAACUCUACACUAAAUAGUCUCCCGAAUCAUGUCAUGUGAUAUAUUAACAUUUCUCACACUAUUCUGUCCUAGAUAGAGCGCUGCCAGCGCAAAUUCCUCUAGGGCACCACUCCCAAUAAAAAAAUCAUCUAAUUAAAUGAAGUACUGUCUCCCAGCCUAAAAUACAUGGUGGCCUUAGUAUUCAAACGUCUGUCCCAAAAAACAAAACUUUAUUCGCUAGUCAAGCCUGUCGCACGAUAUGCAACCCCUCCUACCUCUGGGCUGCUACCCUUUUCCACAAAUAUUUUUAUCACACUACCAAUCCACAUACUUGUGGUUCUUUUAUUUGGAAAAGCCUACUCAUGGGUUUCCACCUCUGUUAAACAGGCAUAAAAUGGCUUAUAGGUAAAGGCAUACUCAUUAACUUCUGGUAUGAUGCCUAGGUCAGCCCUAACUUCCCAUUGAGACAAUGCCUCAUUGGGCACCCACCACGCUACGCUCUUACCGAUACACUAGCCACUUAUCUUACACGAUGUCAAUAGGACCUCACCAAUAUCCCUUUUGAACUACUCUCUGAUCUCCAAUAACAGAUCCUUAACACAUUUUCCCUCUCACACUACUAACCUCGACUCUUUUGCCUAGACUUUAGAUUCCAAAGGCAUCUUCACCACAAAAUCAUUAUAUCAUCAACUACUCCCAACUUACACCGGUCCAUCCAUUAGUUGGCUUUGGAAGCUCCGACUCCCGCCAAAAAUUAAACACUUUCUCUGGUUUCUUAGCCAUAAACACCUCCCUACUGCUAGCCAUUGCCACCACAUAGGCUUUCUCGCAACCGACAAUUGCGCCCUAUGCCUCACCCGCCCUGAAACAACAACCCAUUUAUUCCUCCAAUGUCUGGCUGCAGCCCAAAUUUGGUCACAAUUAAACAUGCUACCAACAAUUACGAUACUUCUGAACAACAUUGACUCUUUACUCACUUGGCCUUAUCUUUUUCUUUUCCAUACACACAUGCCGAAUUCCCUAAAUAUCCCUAAUGACUUACUUAUUCCCUUUGCUCUUUGGCACAUCUGGCUGGCCCCUAAUGAUAUUUUUCAGCACCACCAUCAGCCACUAUCCAUGUCUUUUAUCCUUCGUAGGACUGCAAAAUUCUAUUAUAUAGUUACCCCCUCCCGCACUACAUCUCCACGUAUCCUUAUGCACAUCAAGUGGCACUCCUCGUCCAACUUACAUUAAACUUAAUACUGAUGGUUCCGCCUCAUAACACACUAUGCAUAGGGGAAUUGGUGGAGUCAUCCGGGACCAACAUGGUAAAUGGAUUCUGGGCUUUGCGGGUCAUCAACUAGUACAUUGAAGCAUGGAAGCUGAGUUAUUAGCUUUAUACCACGGCUUGCAUCUGGCCUUCACCCACGGCUACACACCCUUGGAGGUCAAUUUAGAUGCUAAGGCCCUUAUUCAUAUGCUUAGUUCCUCCCAUCCACUUCAUGCUAACAUCAUUUUUGAUUGCAAGUAUCUGAUCACUCAGCUGCAUGAUCCAACUAUCCUUCACAAGUACCGGGAGCAAAAUCAGGUAAGUGACUCUUUACCUAAACAUGGUUUAUAGACAGAGGCUUCAUCAAACAUCACCAUUUUUGCUCAACUUAUGCCUUUUUUACAACAGAUGCUUGGCGAUGACCAUUGUUAGAACCCUACCCCAGCACUAUAUGUUUUGUUCUCCUUCAAGAACGGCCCCAACUAAUAGUUUAUCCCCGAAACCCCUUUUUCGUUACGACUCAUCCAGAGGUUGUCCCCCUAGAAUGUUAUGUUUGACGCCUCAUGCUCCUUGUAAAGCUCUACCUUAAUCUUUUAUGAUAUAGCAUCUUUUAAACCAAAAAAAAUAUUAAAUCCAAAUUAUUAUGUAAGUCUAAAAUAACCAUUGAAUCACCCAUAUAAUUAUUGUGAGGAUCUAAAGGUUCAAUAUGUGUCUUUAGGACAUUGCGUACUUGUUCUACCGUGUAGUGUCACGCAUCUAGUUCCGAGAGCAACCCAUCACACCAUUUGACUCCUCACUGUUCCACUCCUCCAUUACACUCCACCACCAGUUUCGGAAACCACCAAUUCCAUCUGCUGAUCCGCGGCGGAGCACACGGCGGCUCUCCUCCGUUACCCAAAACUGCUGUAGCAGAUCUUUUCUCUCUACAUUCUCAACUGCUUCAUUUGGUUUUUUCAAAAGAAACAAACUUAGAUUUGACUUAAACAGUACAUUCUAUAGUCAAUAGUCAAGCAAAAGUAGUCGUUGUCAUUAACCUCUUUUUCUAAAGUUGUAAUCUCUUCUCAAAUUUCAGAACUGUCUCAUCGUCUGGUUCUGUAGCUAUCAGUUUCAAUUGGGGAUUUCAUUUUUAGGGUUUGCAGCCGCUGCUGACCUUCAUUUUUCAAAAACAUACUUCAAAAUUUUUAAAUCUCCAUAAUUUUGUUUCCCCACCGACGUUCAUACAUCAGAAAUCUCCUUCUCUACAUUGCCGUAUUAGGUACUAAACGGAUAUAUAAACAGUGAACAGCUAAGAAACGAAUUUCGAUUCAAGUACUGUUAGAGAAUAAACACUUGUUCAUUAGAACAAUAUCUCGAUCUGUUAAUGAGUUUAAGCUAAGGAUUUGAAAAGCAGCUGUAAUUAAGAAGUUGAAGAGAUAUGGAGGAUUAUAUUAAGGAUAAUUUUGGAGAAGUAAAAGCGAAGAACUCAUCGGAGGAAGCGCUACAGAGAUGGAGGAAGCUGUGUUGGCUCGUGAAAAAUCCGAAGCGUAGGUUCAGAUUCACAGCAAACCUCUCAAAGCGCUUCGAAGCUCGCGCUAUCCAGCGUUCCAAUCAGGUUUAUACAAAUAUCUGUGCGGUUAUUGGUUUGUUACUACAAAAUAUCUUUUCUGCUUUAGUUGACUUUUUGUUUCAUGUUUCGCUUUCCAAUUUUGCCCUUAGGAUCUACAUAGGAAAUGCUAUUGUGAAACUGAUAUUUCGGUUAUUGCUUCAAUACAGAGCUGCAACAAAUUCAAGCAGCAAAAGGACUGUCAACAUUUUAAUCUUUUUUUUUAAAUUGGCUUAGAAAGAAAAAUAAAGCAAAAUGACAGAAUGAGUAUAGAUGAUUCAUAUACACAUGUAACUAGCUUGGGAUUGAGGUUGAUAUAAAUUUGCCUAAAAGGAAAAGCUUUAAUUGAGAGCAAAAAAUCCUGUGCCUCAAACAAAAGCCUUAUUAAGUGAAGUAGGAUAGAGGAGCGGGGCCAUUAUCUAUAGAGUUUUGAACUGUGCGCUACUAGCCCUGGAGAUUUCUCCCAAAAAAAGUAGUUUAGAGUAGAAGUUCCACUGAGUCUUUGAAACAAUGUGUUGAUUCAAGUUCCUUGUUGGCAUUCUUUCUUCCGAAUUCUUUUUAACAUGUUAGUUUCAAAUUUUUUGUAGGUGUACUCCUGUUUACUUUAUAGUAAAGCUCCGAAGUUAGUUAUAUCAUUGGUUGCUCUGUUACAGUUUUCACCACUUGCUUUAGAGCUUUUCUAAGGUUCAGUUUAAUUUAAAUAAAGUUUAUUAAACUCGAUCUUUUUUUUGGGGGAGGGGGGGUUUCAAGCAAUAUCUUUCUGCUGUGUUGUGCUCCAGUAAAAUUUGCUCAUUUAGAAAAGAAGUAUUCUGAAACGUAUCUUUUUGACUUCAGAGAGUUGGUUUUUCAGUUCUUCUAUCUGAAAAAUGGGUAUGAUCUGUAUUUUCACUGAUGUAGGAGAAACUAAGAGUUGCUGUUCUGGUUUCACAAGCUGCACUUAGCUUUAUCCAAGGUAUGUAAUUGCAUAUUUCAGUGAAACCAGCUUCCAGUAUUUAAAUUUGCCUCUUUAAUUGAUAAUCAACUGAAUAUCAUCAGGAGUACGUUACACUGUCCCAGAGGAAGUGAAAUCUGCUGGGUUUCAAAUAUGUGCUGAUGAGCUGGGAUCAAUAGUCGAGGGCCACAAUUUGAGGAAGCUGAAAGUUCAUGGUACGGUUCAGGGUAUUGCAAACAAGUUAUCAACAUCAAUCACUGAUGGUAUUUGUACUUCUGCUGAUUUGCUUAACCGAAGAAAAGAAAUUUAUGGAAUCAAUAAAUUUGCUGAGAGCCCACAAAGGGGCUUCUGGAUUUUUGUAUGGGAAGCACUUCAAGAUACGACCCUUAUGAUACUUGCUGUAUGUGCUUUUGUCUCUUUGGUUGUUGGCAUAAUGACUGAAGGAUGGCCUAGAGGUGCACACGAUGGACUUGGUAUUGUUGCAAGUAUCCUGCUGGUGGUAUUUGUUACUGCUACUAGUGACUAUAGACAAUCUUUACAGUUUAAGGAUUUAGAUAAAGAGAAGAAAAAGAUUACAGUUCAGGUCACUAGAAAUGGCUACAGGCAAAAAAUAUCAAUAUAUGAUUUACUUCCUGGUGAUGUUGUUCAUCUUGCUAUUGGUGAUCAGGUACCAGCUGAUGGACUCUUCCUUUCUGGAUUUUCUUUGUUGAUAGAUGAAUCAAGUUUAACAGGAGAGAGUGAACCCAUUAACGUGACUGCUGAAAAUCCUUUUCUCCUAUCUGGAACCAAAGUUCGUGAUGGUUCUGCUAAAAUGCUUAUCACUACGGUUGGGAUGAGAACUCAGUGGGGUAAACUGAUGGCUACUCUCAGUGAAGGAGGAGACGAUGAGACCCCAUUGCAGGUUAAACUGAAUGGAGUGGCAACUAUUAUUGGUAAAAUAGGUCUGUUUUUUGCUGUCAUCACAUUUGCUGUCUUGGUGCAAGGCUUGUAUAGCCACAAACUAGGGAAAGGGUCCCACUGGAGCUGGUCUAUGGAUGAUGCCCAAGAAAUGCUGGAAUACUUUGCUAUUGCAGUUACAAUUGUUGUGGUUGCUGUUCCUGAGGGGCUUCCUUUAGCUGUGACAUUGAGUCUGGCAUUUGCUAUGAAUAAGAUGAUGAAUGAUAAGGCACUUGUGCGCCAUUUGGCUGCUUGUGAGACGAUGGGUUCUGCAACUACCAUCUGUAGCGACAAGACUGGUACACUAACGACUAAUCAUAUGACAGUUGUAAAAGCAUGCAUUUGUGGUAAAGUCACAGAAAUUGAGAGCUCUAAGGAUGGUUCUAAAUUUUGUUCUGAAGUUCCUAAUUCUGCAUUGAGAAUAUUAAUCCAGUCUAUAUUCAGUAACACUGGAGGAGAAAUAGUUAAGAAUGAAGAUGGAAAGAUUGAAAUCCUGGGAACACCGACUGAAGCUGCUCUUUUGGAGUUUGGCCUUUUGCUUGGAGGGAAUUUCCAGGAAGAGCGUCAAUCAUCAACACUUGUAAAGGUUGAGCCAUUCAAUUCAACAAAGAAGAGAAUGGGUGUAGUUAUAGAGCUUCCUGGAAAAGGUCUCCGUGCACACUGUAAAGGAGCAUCUGAAAUAAUAUUGGCUGCAUGUGACAGUGUCCUAAGCUCUAGCGGUGAGAUUGUUCCUCUAGAUGAAGCUUCAAUUAACAAUCUAGAAGAUAUAAUUGAACUAUUUGCUAAUGAAGCUCUUCGAACUUUGUGCCUUGCCUACAAGGACAUCAGUGAUGAGAACCCUGCUGAAAAUCCUAUCCCCUUUGAGGGGUAUACCUGCAUAGGAAUUGUAGGCAUUAAAGAUCCAGUUCGUCCUGGUGUCAAGGAGUCUGUCGCAAUUUGUAGGUCAGCUGGAAUCGUGAGAACCCUGCUGAACAUCCUAUCCCCUUUGAGGGGUAUACCUGCAUAGGAAUUGUAGGCAUUAAAGAUCCAGUUCGUCCUGGUGUCAAGGAGUCUGUUGCAAUUUGUAGGUCAGCUGGAAUCACCGUGAGAAUGGUCACUGGAGACAACAUAAAUACUGCUAAAGCAAUUGCUAGAGAAUGUGGAAUUCUGACUGAUGAUGGUAUUGCAAUCGAAGGUCCAGUGUUUAGGAUGAAGAGUGAGGCUGAGCUGCAUGGAAUUAUUCCGAAGUUACAGGUGCUUCUGAAAUAAUUAUUUCACUUGGAUGUAUGCAUAUGUUGUUUCCUGAAUUACAUUCUCGAGUUGUUGAUCUUGAUUCUAGGACUAGCUUAAAGUAUACUUCGGACCCGUUUGGACAUAGAUUCCCAAAUAUUUUUUGAAAAGCUGAUAUCAGUGAAAUUUGAUUUGAAAUUGAAAACGUGUUUGGACAUGAACUUUGGGGUUGAGUUUUGACAUGUUAAGAAGUCCUUUUUUUUUCUUUUUUAAAGCUAAAAUGUCCCAAAUGGUCAUGAUUUGGCCCAAAAAGAGGUCUUAAGCUAUAUUUCGGAUUUGAAGUUUUGGUUUUCAAAAUCUCCCAAAAAACUAGAUUAAUUCUAUAAACAAACACAUAUUUGAAAUACUUUUUUGAAAAGAAAACUUCCUAACUUUUGGCCAAACGCCUACUUAACAUACACAAGUUCUUCCUAGUCGCUAGAUACCAACUAUUCUCCACUCUCUGUCUGAAAUACACUUGAGCACUCGAAAAAAGUAAAGUAAAAGCAUGAGUGUGCUGGCAUCACUUAUGGCAGGAGGACCGAUGGUUUAUCUGUAUAAAUGUAUGCUAACCCUACAGUGCAGAGAGGUCAUGUGAUGGCUCACUGAGUAUAGUUUUUGUGAAAUACACUUUAGCACUCGAAAAAAGUAAUGCAAAAGUAUGAGUGUGCUGGCAUCACUUAUGGAGGAGGACCGAUGGUUUAUCUGUAUAAAUGUAUGCUAACCCUACAGUGCAGAGAGGUCAUGUGAUGGCUCACUGAGUAUAGUUUUUGUGAAAUACACUUUAGCACUCGAAAAAAGUAAUGCAAAAGUAUGAGUGUGCUGGCAUCACUUAUGGAGGAGGACCGAUGGUUUAUCUGUAUAAAUGUAUGCUAACCCUACAGUGCAGAGAGGUCAUGUGAUGGCUCACUCAGUAUAGUUUUCAAUAGACGACCCUUUGGCUGCACUUGUUGCUUUCACUCUAAUGCAACCCUACACUGCAGAGAGGUCAUGUGAUGGCUCACUGAGUAUAGUUUUUUGUGAAAUACACUUGAGCACUCGAAAAAAGUAAAGCAAAAGUAUGAGUGUGCUGGCAUCACUUAUGGCAGGAGGACCGAUGGUUUAACUGUAUAAAUGUAUGCUAACCCUACAGUGCAGAGAGGUCAUGUGAUGUCUCACUGAGUAUAGUUUUCAAUAGACGACCCUUUGGCUGCACUUGUUACUUUUACUCUAAUGCCCCCCCUCCCCUGUGCGCCAUUUGGGGCAGUUUUGGCUAAUGGAACUGUGAUUAAAUCUAAAGCAUAUGAGUUUCACUUUAAAAUUUCACCUAUCAAAUAAAGAAAUUUUGUUUGUUUUACGUUCAUGCACAGAAGUGAUGAACUUCUUAUUCUUUUUACUUUAAUGUUUAUUAUUAUCAUUUGAUAUAAUGUUGGUUUGAGGUGAGUUUGAAUGGAGAAACAUGCUAGUGAGUGUUCAUACAGCCGAUUCCAACUAGUUUCGAACACUGGGUAUGAGUGUGUUCAUGCAAAGCACGCUGAUUAUCUUAAUCUGAGGUCGUUUGUUUGGUAGCUUUCCUAGUGGAUUAGCUUAUCUCAUUUGCUUGCUUGCUGCUGCUGAUUGGGUGACAGAGAGAGAUUAAUAUCUUCUUCUUCUACUUCCUUAGGUCAUGGCACGUUCUUCUCCAAUGGAUAAACAUACGCUAGUGAAACAUUUACGUACGACCUUCCAAGAAGUUGUUGCAGUGACUGGAGACGGCACUAAUGAUGCUCCUGCCCUUCAUGAAGCAGAUAUAGGUCUUGCUAUGGGCAUUGCUGGGACUGAGGUGAUACUUAAAUACUGUUGUACUAGAUUAGGUCAUGGCACGUUCUUCUCCUAUGGAUAAACAUAUGCUAGUGAAGCAUUUACGUACGACCUUCCAAGAAGUUGUUGCAGUGACCGGAGACGGCACUAAUGAUGCUCCUGCCCUUCAUGAAGCAGAUAUAGGUCUUGCUAUGGGCAUUGCUGGGACUGAGGUGAUACUUAAAUAUUGUUUUACUUGUAUGAAUUAUCUUUACAAGUGUGGUUUGAUUUGAAAGUUGUUGAUCUUUCAAGCAAUUGCAAUCUUGAGAGCAACUGCCUGCUAUUUCAGCUGCAGAAAAUCCAGUGCCAAAAGUACUGGUACCCAGUGUAUGUUAAUUGAAUAGAACAUUAGAAGGGAGAUUAUGAAAGCAAUAUUUCUUAGCACUGCCCGCCUUUUCUCUUAGCACCCAAGGGUGUGACAUAGUGGUCAAUUAAGAGGGCGGAGAACUAUGAGGUCUCAUGCUCAUAUCCCAGCGGAGACAAAAAACACUCGGUUUUCAUCUGCAUAAGACUUAGUGGGCAGAGUUACCUGGUACCUAGUGGGAGGUAGCAGACUAGUAGGUACUUGAUGGAAUAGUCCAAGUAUGCGUAAACUGGUCCAUACACCACCAUUCUUUUUGAUUUGGAAGGAUAAUUGUCCAUUAAAGAGGGUGUGUUUUUUGUUAUUUGCUAUAAAAGUGCUAGCAUAAUUUGUUACAUUCCAGUCCAUUGAAAAUGCAUUUUCCCUUAAUGGAUUAUGUGAACUAUUUCCUAUCUAAAAGUUAUGCUGUUUUCACAAAAAAGCUCAAGUGCUCAACAUAACAUCUUCACUCUAGAAGAAACUAGUAGUAAAAUUACAAAUUAUUUAAGCUUGUUGAGGGUAAUAUGAGAAUGCUUCACAAAAGAUAUUGACUUGUGUAAAUAAUAACUUCACUCUGCACUUAGACCUGUGUGCUAGGUCAAACUAGAUGAUAAUGGGAUAUUAUUUGUGCUUACAUUGCUACCCCUGGCCCGUUCUCCCAAAAAAAUGGAACUUCCAAACUUUCGAAGGAAGUUUCUUAAUGUGAUUCGUCUUCACUCUUAUUAGAAAAGAUGUAUUAAUUGUGUGCCUAUUGGCCCAAGAUGCUUAAUUGGGUCCUGUACUGUAGGAAUCGCGACCCUUUUUCUGUUCACCAACCUAAUUUUCAUGUACAAAGAAUUUACUGUACGCAAAAUAAGAAGUUUUGUCAUGGCUCCACUUUCUUUUAUCUGCCAAGAGCUCAUGGACUUCUCUCUUUUUAGAUCUUCCUUCUGUAAUGCCAUAAGCAACUUACCUUUAAUUGCACUAGAUCUCCUAUUAAGCCUUUUCUCGAUACAAUUUAGACUUUUCAAUUUAUCUUUAAAUUCCUGGCCAAAGAUCGUGAAUUAUAUAGAUUCUGUUAUACAGUGCUGUAAUGAGUAUAAUAUGAUUAUUAUUUUGUUAAUCAAUGAUGUUGAAUAUGUAUAGCCUCAAAAGUGCUGUUGGUGGGUUUUUCCUGAAUGACUUCUCUCUUGAUGUGUAUUAGUUCAACUUCCUUUUAGCUAUUUAAACUUUGUAAUUGGAUUUUAUUUUUGAUAAGGAAAUUGUUGUAGUUAGAUUUGGCAGUUGUUGUACUGUUAAACCAAGAACGCCAUGAUUUAGAAUCUUAUGAUUCCUUCUACUAAUUCUGCCUUACUAUAACUAAAGAGCUGCUAUCUGCCUAGCAUUUAUAGAAGCUGCAAAUUGUCAUUCAGCAACUUGUUAAUUCUCCCAUUUUCUUGCUCAAAGAAUUGAAGUGCCCUUACAUUGUAUGUUCCCUCUACAAUUUGGGCUUCAAAGUGAAAGUGAUUAGUUAUAUCAUCUUGCUUCAUGUAGUAGGACAUAGUGGAAACAUUAUUUGGUUAUUUAAUGUUCAUUUAUCUGCCUUUAGUCAUCAUGUUGUCUGGUUUUCUGUUCCAGGUAGCUAAAGAGAGUGCCGAUGUCAUAAUUUUAGAUGAUAAUUUCUCAACAAUUGUGACUGUGGCCAAAUGGGGGCGCUCAGUUUAUGUGAAUAUUCAAAAGUUCGUUCAAUUUCAGCUGACAGUAAAUGUUGUUGCCUUGAUUGUCAACUUUUCUUCUGCAUGUUUGACAGGUAGCGUAUCUUGACCUAAGAAAAUUACUCCCUCCAUUUCAAUUUAUGUGACAUUUUCAGAGUACUUUUCGGUUGAAUCUGACAUGGAAUUUUCAAUAGCAUGUUUGACAGGUAGCAUAUCUUGACCUAAGAAAAUUACUCCCUCCAUUUCAGUUUAUAUGAACCUUUUCAGAGUACUUUUCGGUUGAAUUUGACAUGGAAUUUUCAAUCUUUUUGAAAUACAAUUUACAUAUUUAAAUGCUACAUAAAUAUGAUUGAAACACGGGAAGUAAUUUUUACUACUUUUAACACUUUGCCCCUAAAGGUGUGAUUUUGGGAUGUAUCUUCUAUGCAUUUUCAGGGAAUGCUCCGCUU
rnacentral:lncRNA from 1 species